UUGAAUAAUGACACAAAAAAAGAUGAAUGAAGAUAAUAAAAUGUGGGUAGUAACCAGGCCCUCAAAUCAAGAGUUAUCAGAGAGAGCAGACAUGUUGUCCCAAUAGAUCAAUUUCCGUGCACACAACCAUGCCUCCUUCAUUAUAUUAUCCAGGGCAUCGGCUUAUUGUGCACGGCUUUAAAUCAUAACUAACAUUCAUCAAUUAAACAUAAAAGAGAUAUAGAACGUAUAUAUAUAUAUGCUAAGAACAAAUAAGAGAAGAGACAAACCUAGCAGCAGCCUUUUUUUUAAUGAUGUUUUUGUUUGAGAGAUGAGACAGUAUUUAUAGAAAGGUGACACAGGUGUUUAGGGUUUUCUGGCUGCUCUCGCGUACGUUUUGUGGGCUUUUUUGUGUUACCCGGGUUUGGGGUAAUUGGCCCAAAAACAGAAAGGAAAUCUGAGUAAAGUUCGGUUUGAAAUUUUAUAAUGAAGUUAUGAAGCUCUCUAUCUACACGUCAUUUUAGGGGAUUUUGUUGAAAAUCAGCUUCCUGAAAAGAGUGGCUUGGUUGAACAAUAGAUUUAAUUUUUUUUUGUAAUAAUAAGUUUUAAUUUCUCGAUUGUAAUUGUAACAACACUAUUGUCAUUGUUUUUUUGGGCGUAAACCACAUGUAUCAGUGUAUCACCUAUUGAAGAAAAAAAUUAUUUAUAGGUAGGAAUGUAAGUAGAUAUAGUCCAAUUCGUAAACUUGGUAAAUCCCAAACAAUUCAUCACAUUUGAUAGUUAGAUUCAAAUCAAGAGUUGGAUUGAAUUUCUAUAAGGUAAUCCAAAUAUAUUCAACUCGAGUAAUAUAUUAAAAAUGAUUGAGCUCAUCUAACCUGAAUGAAACCAAUAAUACUAUUUUUAAUUAAUUUGGAUAUCUAUCUCUAGAUCCGAACCAACUUGUUACACCCUUACAUGCUAAUGUCAGAUUAUUAUUAAUAUUAUUAUUGCAUAUUAAAAUUAAUAUAGAUAAAAUACAAUAUAUAUUAUGAGUGGUGAUAAUAUAUUUAAUUUUAGAGAAAGAAUAUGAUGUAAGUUGAAAAUAUAAUUUAUUAGUAAAAAUAAAAUAUAAAUAAGCUAAUUUUUGGCCAUCUAAUUAUCAAUGUCCUUUGUUAAUAGUAAGUAUUGACUCUUAUAAAAAAAUGGCAAGUAUAUAUAAACAUAGAUUAUUAUGUGAAUAUAUUCAGUCCCUUUAUUUGCAAAAUAUAGACUUAAACAAAUUUGUAAGGUGUCAAGAAGAGAUAUUAGAGAUAAAAAAUUUAUUUAAUAAGUCUGAAGAGAAUUAUUGAACAAUAUAUAUGGAGUUAAAUUAAGUUAGUUAGUAAUAGUAAUUAAAGUAAGAUAGAACUUUCUUUGAUUACUUAACGCAUCCGUUAAACAUGUCUGAACCAUUUUCUUUUGUGGUUAUACAUCGAGAUAUGCCGACUAAUAUGAUUUUACUAUAACUAAUGAGAUUAAACAUAAGUGAAUUGUUUCAUCCAAUCCAAAGUCAUGUCAUGUCAUGGCAUAACUAAACUGUUAAACUUCUGAUAGCUUCUUCAUAGUUGACAAUACCUCUAUACAUACAGAUGAUAUAUUUUUUAUUAAGAGAGGAUUCACUUACUCUAAGAGUGAUAAAAUUUACUUUAUAUCCUAGUCAUUCAUUCUUAAAAAAUCUAAUGAUUUGAAUUAGUAAGUAGAUUUAUUUGAUUUUUCAAUAAUAGGUGGUCCUCCCAUCUUUAUUAACCGAGUUUGUCCGUGAAUUAUUAUUAUUGUAUGUACCAACACUCUAAAAACUUGUGAAGUAUCCUUUGAUACUUAAUUUCAAUGCUUAGGUAAAAUUCUUUAAUCGCUUACAUAAAUCCACAUACAGAUGACAAGUAGCAUUACACGAAGAUGACAAGUUACCUUAAAAGACCAAACUUUAUUAUAAGACAGUCUCGAUCAAAUUAACAGAGGAACAAAAGUAGCUAAUUUAGUUAGCUUUAUUAAUAUUUUAAAAUAUAACCACCCUCUAAUAUAAAUAGUUUGUCAACCUUGUCAAGUGGAUUCACAAAUAAAUCCUUUCAUAUAAAUGUUAGCUAUUUAUAUUUGACAUUAAAAUGUUGAUAACUUUUAUAUGGCAGUUGGACCAAUAUGCUUCGAUUUGUUUAUCUCAUGGAGAAUUUUCAACCUCUUGGCUUUUUGACAUGCAACUUUUUGCCUAUGUGAUAAUGUAGUUAAACCUAAGACUUUAAUGGUGUGAGAAGAGGCAUUAUCCAUGAUUUUUUUCUUCAUGUUUAUAUGCUUCACGUCAAGUAGAAAUCGUCAAAUAAUUACAUGGUGGUUGUUCUUGUUGAGCACGUUGAGCAUGUUAGAAAGGAUCAAUCUUAACUAAAAUAUUGUUGUCCACAAUCAUAAAGAAAUUAAUAAUGCGCUUAAGAUAUAUUAUUUUCCAUGUUACAACUAAUUAACUAAACACACACACCUUCACCUCUAGAUUUCUUAAUGCAAGUUUUGGGAACCAAACAUUUUUGAAAUAUAUUUGUGCUUAUAUAUGACCUCAUUCAGCUAUGUGGUUGAACCAAUCAAUACCAAUACUGCGAAGUCUCAUCCAAUAAUUGUUUAAUAUGGACCAAACAAUGCUUAUACUAUACAUAGCAUCUUACCCCACAAAAGGAUCGUUGAAACUGAGAACCAUCUCAUUUAAUUUCAUGCAGUCCAAGAGGCAUACAUGUUAUUAUUUUGUUCAAAAAGUCAACAUAAUAUUUUCUGUUAUUGUAUCAACUGCACAAUAAAAAGUUCUCCAUUUGGUUCCAUUAUGUUAGGAAGAGUGUGAUUAUAAGCAAAGAAAAGAAAAAUAAAUUUGAGUAUGAUUGUUAGAUUUUAAUUAAGAGAAAAUACUUGCACUAUGAUCGUUAGAUUUUAAUUAAGAGAAAAUACUUUUACAUUGAUAAAGUAUGAUUUUUUAUAUUUUCAGUACAACAUUUAUUAUUAUUUAUGUCUGAAUAAUUUUUAAUUAUGAUGAAUGAUGAACUACUAAUACCAAAAACUUUAUACCGAUAACACAAAAAUAUUAAACUUUUUAUUUGAAAAUAUGUGAACUCAUAUUUGUUAAUUCUGGCGGUUCGUGACCCGCUUCUAUUAUUCAGAAAUAGUUCGGCUAGCCUGUGGUAUAGAUUUGCAUUAUAAAGUGUUAUAUAUAUGCAAGCUUUCAAUGGGGAUGCUGCUCAAAGAUGAGAAUUAAGAAUUUUGUUAUGUAAUGACUCAUAUAUCUAGAUAACAAUAAUAUAACUUAUAGGUUUGAGUUUAUGUAAAGGGAUUGGGGUAGAAGACUAUAUAUUUAUGGGGAGCAUAUCUGAUGUCUCACAUUUUAUGUCACUCCAUGUGCUAUGCGCUUGUGAUUGGUUAGACAAAUACUUAAUAAUUAAAUUUUAACUUAAAUAUAUUUUUUCUGACCAAUCACAAACUCAUGGCACAUGGAGUAAUACAAAGUGUGGGACAACAGAUGUGUACCCAUAUUUAUGUCAUGUAAACCUAAUGUAACAAAGAGAAUAAUAGUUAAACAAUAAUCAUAAUUCUCUAAUAAUAUAUAGUGGUAGCCGCUCAACGAUUCUCGGGGAUGUAGGCACAAUUGGCUGAACCUCGUUACCAAAUCUCUUGUAUUAUUCUCUUGACUCUAUACUCUUUACUAUUUGAUUGUUCGCUUGUUCCCAAUAAUUGAUAUCAAAUGGCUCUUAACCCAGGUGCCAAAUUCGAGAUGGGGAAGUUCGAUGGAACUGGUAAUUUCUGAUUGUGGCAAAGAAGGGUUAAGGAUGUGUUGGCUCAACAAAGUCUAUCAAAGGCGCUGCGUGAGAAUAAACUAGAGGAUAUAGAUCAACUGGAUUGGGAAGAGUUGAAGGAGAAGGCUACGGGAACCAUACGACUCUGUCUAUCAGAAGAGAUGAUGUAUCAUGUUAUGGAUAUGAUAUCACCAAUAGAGGUAUGAGAGACAUUAGAGAAGCGGUUCAUGUCCAAGUCUCUAACAAAUAAGUUGUAUUUGAAACAGAGACUCUAUGGCCUAAAGAUGUAGGAAGGUGCUGAUUUGCAACAACAUCUCAACAAUUUUAAUCAAGUGAACAAGGACUUGUAGAAACUUGAUAUGAAUGUUGAUGAUGAGGACAAAGCAAUAAUAUUACUGUGUUCUUUGCCAAAUUCCUAUGAACACUUGGUGACAACAUUGACGUACGAGAAAGACUCAAUCAAACCAGAUGAGAUCAUGUUUCUGUCCCACACUCGCAGAAGACAGAAUGUAGGUGAAGGGUCUUAGGGUGAUGGUCUGUAUGUGAAAGGGAGCCAAGUGCGUGGGAGAAGACAAGACAUAGGAGGUCCUGCCAAAGGGAAAAGACCAAAUUCCAGGGGCAGAACACCAGUAGAGUGCUAUAAGUACAAACAUACUUGACAUUACAAAAAGGAUUAUCCCAAUGACUAGAGUCCUAGCAAGCCGGUGGGGAAAGAUGAAGUAUCUACAUCUACAAAUAUUGCACAUAAAGAUGACUCUGUUUACAACAGUGAAGUUGAUCUACUCUCUAUAUCAUCAAAUCGUAGUACAAAUGAGUGGAUACUUGACACUGGUUGUUCCCACCACAUGACGCCUAACAGGGAAUGGUUCACCACAUACAGGGCAGGCAAUUUUGGUUCCGUGUAUCUCGGAAAUAAUAAAGCAUGUGAGAUUAUUGGUAUGGGAGAACUCAGAAUUGUGAUGGAUGAUGGUGUAGUGAAGACGUUAUGUGAGGUUAGGCAUAUACCAGAUUUGAAGAAGAAUUUGGUUUCUUUGGGGACAUUGCAUGCCAAAGGAUUUAGCUAUAGAGUUGAUGGGGACAUUGAUAUUCUUUGAGUAUGCAAAGAUGUUCUGAUUAUGAUGAAGGGUAAAAGGACUGUAUGCAACACUUACAAGUUGUUAGGGAAAACAAUUGUAGGUGGAGUUGCUGAAGAGAUAUCAGUAGAUUCGAGAUCUGAGUAGAUUCAGACCAUGGUGCAAUAAAAUUGUGGCACAUGCGUUUGGGACACAUGAGUGUGCGUGGUAUGACAGAACUAUGCAAAAGAGGACUGUUGAGGGGAGUUAGUAAAUGCAAGCUAGAUUUAUGCAAGUAUUGUAUGCUUGGGAAACAGACACGAGUUAGUUUCAAGGCUGCCCAACAUAGGACACGGGGCAUUCUAGACUAUGUCCACACUGAUGUAUGAGGAUCCACUUAGGAACCAUCCCUAGGAGGUUCUAGCUAUUUUGUUACCUUCGUUGCUGACUUUUCUCGCAAGGUCUAGGUCUGAAGCAAAAGUCAGAAGUCUUUGCCAAGUUCAAGGUUUGGAAGGCAGAGGUAGAGAACCAGACUGGGAAAAUCAAAUACAUGAGGUCAGAUAAUGGUACGAAAUAAAAAAACUCACAGUUUUAGAAAUUCUGUGAGGAACAUGACAUUCAGAGACACUUUUCAGUGAAGAAGACUCCUCAAAAGAAUGGUGUUGCAGAGAGGAUGAAUAGAACUCUUACAGAGAGGGCCAGAUGUAUGAGACUGAAUGUUGGACUUUCCAAAGGAUUUUGGGCAGAGGCACUUAGUAUGACAUGUUAUGUGAUCAAUAGAUCACCACGGACUUUAUUGGAAGGUAAAGUUGUAGAAGAAGUAUGGACAGGUAACUCAGUCAAUUAUAAUAUGUUACACAUAUUUGGUUGUCCUGCUUAUGUACAUGUACCCAAUGAUGAACGAUCUAAACUUGAUCCUAAGUCAAAGAGGUAUAUCUUCAUUAAAUAUACCAAAGGUGUGAAAGGGUUCAAGUUCUGGGAUCCAAUUUUCAGAAAGGUGGUGUUGAGUAGAGAUGUAGUGUUUGAUGAGGAUUUUAUGAUGAAACAAUCAAUUUUGAUAGAGGUGCUCAUGCCAAAUGGAGAGACUUUGGGAUCAAAUAUGAUUCAAGUGAACAAUGAAAUGGUUCAGGUGAAUAAAGGCAAGGAAUCAUGUACUAGUUCAAGUAAAGAACAUGAUGAUUCUCACACGGAGAGUUCAAGUGUGCAGGAGUAUCUACUUGCUAGAGACAGGGAUAGACGUCCUACCAAACCUCCAAAGAGAUAUGGCUUUGAGGAUAUGGCUUUAGUUGCUCUCCAUAUCAGUUCAGGAGAUCCAUGUAGCUUUCAAGAGGCUAUAAAUAGUCAGGAGAAAGAACAAUGGAUGAGUGUCAUGAUGGAGGAGAUGGAGACUUUAAAGAAGAACCAAACUUGAGAGCUUGUUCCAUUGCUCCUAGACAAGCACGCAGUUGGGUGCAAGUGGGUGUACAAGAGGAUGCUAGCAGUAUCAGAAAAAGAAGGGGAAAAGUUCAAGGCUCGUCUUGUAGCAAAAGGGUAUUCACAACAGAAGGGGAUCGUCUACAAUGAAAUUUUCUCCCUAGUGGUGAGACACACUUCUAUUAGAGAAGUGCUUGCCUUGGUAGUCAGCUAGGAUAUGCACUUAGAAUAGAUGGAUGUGAAGACUGCCUUUCUCCAUGGCGAAUUAGAGGUGAAAAUUUACAUGACACAACCAGAGGGGUUCAGUGCAGCUGGACAGAGUCACUUGGUUUGCAAGUUGAAGAAGUCUCUAUAUGGGUUGAAGCAGUCUCUCAGACAGUGGUGCCAGCGGUUUGAAACUUAUAUGUUGAAGCUUGGUUAUAAGCGUUGUGAGUAUGAUUGUUGUAUUUAUGUCAGAAGCCUGGACGAUGGUUUUUUUAUUUUUCUGUUACUUUAUGUUGAUGAUAUGUUGAUUGCUGCUAAUCAUUUGAGUGAUAUCAAUGAGUUGAAAGUCAUGCUAGGUAAUGAGUUUGACACGAAAGAUUUAGGGGCUGCUAGGAAGAUUCUUGGGAUGAAGAUUCACAGGGAUAGGGGAGCUAGAAAACUAUGGCUCUCCCAGCAAAGCUAUGUUGAAAAGAUCUUAGAGAGAUUUGAUAUGAGUAAUGCUAAAGUAGUGAGCACUCCAUUGACAAAUCACUUCAAGCUUUCCCUAGAUUAGUGUCCAAAGACAGAUGAAGAGAAGAAAUACAUGUCAAAGGUUCCAUAUGCCAGUGUAGUGGGUUGUUUGAUGUAUGCUAUGAUUUCUACUGGACUGGACUGUUAGGUAUCAGUGGCAGAAUACACCUAGAAGGGGGGUUGAAUAGGUGUGGCGAAGCUCAAGUUCCACUUUUUUGGUUUUUGCACACUUGUUGAAAAAUGCUCAGUUAAUCGAUUAAGCACUGUACAUAAUUGAUUAAACACAGUAAAAAUAUAAUGCAGAAAAUCUUGUUUAACAGCUCUUUUGCACGACAGGUUAUGAGAAAUCAGUCAAUGAUACAACAAAUACUUUGACACAAAAUUAAACUAGUUAUAGCACAAUACUAGUAUACAAAUUAUCAUGUUAUAUCAUGCAAUAUUACAACUUCAAAUGUAAAAGAGAAAGGGAUAAAAAAGAUUGCGCAAGGAUUUUAUCCUGGUUCGUUUUGCGGUCCAGUGUAAAACUACAUCCACGUCUCCCCUUCUGAUCUUGGGAGAUUUUCUUCUUCACUAUAGAAAAUAAUGUAUCACUACAUACAUGCUUCCAAUUACAAGACUCGAACGCUACUUUCUUGGAACCCAAAGAACUUCGUCACCCUUGGUUUGACCUUUCCUAAAAUCGCCCCCCAAGAAAACCUUUCUUACUGUGAUUCGGCCUCAGCCAAGGUAUCGCUCUUUAUCCCAAGACCUCCAAGUCUUUGUGAAGAACACCUUACUUAACCGCAUCUAGNNNNNNNNNNNNNNNNNNNNNNNNNNNNNNNNNNNNNNNNNNNNNNNNNNNNNNNNNNNNNNNNNNNNNNNNNNNNNNNNNNNNNNNNNNNNNNNNNNNNAAUAUGCAAUCAUAAAAAAAACCUAUCUCUUUUCUUUUCAAGAAACACAAGAAUGAUGCAAGAAAGCAUUUCAAAGAACAUGUAAUAUGAAUGUGAAACUUAAAGCCUUAGCAUGAUCUAAUCUUUCUUCUAAUGCAACAUGCAAUAUUUUCUCAUAGAUUUAACAGUGAGUAACUCGAAAAUAUGCAGAGAGAAUGAUGUAAAAAUGUAUGGAUUCUUAUGCCACAUAUGCUGAGAUUUCAGUUUAAAUAGAAAGCUAUCUAAAGUCCCAGUUAAUCGAUUAAGUACUCAUUUAAUCGAUUAACAGGUUGUUGAAAAUAAUGGUUUUCAAUUUUUCAGUUUUAUGUGGAAACUGUGAUUCUGUUAAUCGAUUAACACUAUUCAUAAUCGGGGUUAAUCGAUUAACCAGUGUAUUUUUAAUACAUGAUUAAAUGGUAAACUACUUAUAUGAUAUAUGCUCAUGCAAUACAUGAUUUCCAAAUAUAAUAUCUUUAAUGCACAAAAUCAAUGUAUUCAAAUGCAUGAACCUAAUUAUCAUAUAUUUCUAGAUGAUGUCUCAUUUUAGUGGAUUAAUUACUUUAUUAAGUCUUGUGAGACUCACACAUAGGUUUUCUUAACCUAGACUCAAUAUCUAUGGCAAACAUCCUAGACUUCUAAAAAAAUGAUAAAGAAUUAUAACCUAAGUCUAAUAAGUCACCACUUGAGUCCUCGACAUGUUGUAUAUUGAAUGAUCUUCAAGCUUGUCUUCAUGUUGGUCUUCAUCAAAACAUAGAUCAAUCUCCAAUGGUGUCUUCACUUUCAAAGACUUGGCACAAGCAGUUAGUCAAGUAUGCAAGUACAUGUCAAAACCAGGGAAACAACAUUGGGAAGCAGUCAAAUGAAUUUUCAGAUAUUUGAAGGAGACUACAGGUAUCAGUAUCAUGUUUGGCAGCCAACAUAGUAAGCAUUUAGUUAUUGGUUAUGUUGAUUUGGACUAUGCAGGAGACUUGAAGAAGGUCCACAACGGGGUUUGUCUUCACCCUUGCAGGUGGACCAAUUAUGUGGAGAUCAUCAGUUCAGUCUAUUGUUGCUAUGUCCACAACUGCAGCAAAGUACAUGGCAGCUGGUGAAGCUUCUAAGGAAGCCCUAUGGCUUAUGGGGCUGGUAAAUGAGUUAGCCAUUGAGCAAGAUGGAGUUCCGCUGCAUUGUGGCAGUCAGAGUGCUAUCUUCUUGGCAAAGAACCAGGUGCAUCAUGCUAGGACCAAACAUAUUGAUGUGAGAUUUCACAAGAUCUAAGAGUUGGUAGCUUGUGAGCAGAUACUAUUGCAGAAGGUUCACACUUCAGAAAAUGCAGCUGAUAUGCUAACCAAACUGGUUACAGUGGACAAGUUCAGGCAUUGUCUCAGCUUGCUGAACAUUCACUGGUGCUGGACUAUGGAGCGCCCCCAACCCAAUGGCGGAAGAUGGAGAUUGAUGAUAUUCGCCAAGGUGGAGAUUGGUGUGCAAUGACUCAUAUUUCUAGACACCAGCAAUAUAAGUUAUGAGCUUGGGCUGAUGUAAAUGAGUUGGGGUAGAGGGCUAUAUAUUUAUGUUAUGUAAACCUAAUGUAACAAGGAGAAGAAUAGUUAAACAUUAAUCCUAAUUCUCUAAUAAUAUAUACUGGUAGCCGCUCAACGCUCCCGGGAACGUAGGUACAAUUGGUCAAACUCGUUACCAAAUCUCUUGUGUUAUUCUCUUGUCUGUGUACUCUUUACUAUUUGAUUGUUCGCUUAUUCCCAACAGAUUCUUUUGGUGUAAAUGUAGUUUUAAGUAAAUUUGUGUUUUUUAUUAAGAAAAGCUUAUGAAAUGGUAGGGGUACUGGACUUAUUGGAUUAUUAAGAUUUAUCGAGUACUGGAUUAUUUUUUUUGAAAUGUUACAAUGUUUUCUUUUGAUUGAUAGAAUAUUUAGUACAAUUUAAAGUUUUUAACUUAUUUUAAUUCUACACUGAGGAUGGCACUAGAAAUUUUUAGCUUUAAUUCUCACUUGAAGAGAUCUGAUAACUUAUUCAAUGGCUGAGUCUAAGACAAAAAGAAGGGGGGAGAUUGAAUCUCCUUGUCUUUAUCCUCUUCCACCUUUGAAGUAAUAAUUGAUACCUCCAUUGAUUGCUAAGGAAAAUGAGGUUGUGUUUAUUGAAAAGAUCUCUUAUCUCACAUAUAUGUUGUUCGAGACUCAUAAUAUAUAAUAAAGCAAAAAUAACAAUAAUUUGUAGAAAGCCAGAUCUUUGUGGAUUUCACAAUCCAUUUGUGAAUCUUUGUGGAUUUAGGUGGAAAAGCAUACCCUCCCAGUUCCUUUCAUAGUCUGAUGGUUCUAUUAUUGUCCCCACUCUUCUUUCUCCAACAAUUUGUUGUCCCAUGCCCAUAUCCCUUACCAUUGGCAAUGAACUUCUUGUUCCAUAACAACACCCUUCUCAUUCUCAAAUUGGACUCUAUUUGGCACCAUAUAUGUAACACUAAUGAAGUCCAUGAAAGAUUUAAAGUUCCAUGAUAUAAGUCUGUCCAACUACCAAUGUGAUAACAUUUUUAAAUUUUCAAGAACUCAUUUGCAGACACUUUUCUUUCUAGGAUGAAGUUGGUCAUAUUUAUAUAUUUGAAAUGUCAAUUUGAUGUUUUACUCUUAAUUCUGUAAUUUAGGUUUUUAUAAUGUUCAAACUUAUUCAUUAUGCUAACUUAUCAUAUUAACUCGAUUUCACCCUAAAUAUGUUGAGAUCAUGGUUGGACUGGAUUCAAAUCCAAGCAAAUGGCCUUAUAGUUGUUGAAUUGGUCCAAGUGAAGGAAAAUUUAGUCCUUUAAAUGUGAGGUGUUAAGUUUGAUGUGUAUAAAAACAUUACUUACCAUAAUUGAUAAAUCAUACUCUUACCCACAUGGCUAAAUAAAAUGUUACUUUCAAAUGCUAAAUUAAGGAUAGCACAAGUGAAACUCCAAAGUUUUUAUUCACACUCUCUCCUAAUCACUCAUUUUUUUUUUAAAAAUAAUUUUAUAAAAUUAUGAUUGAACAAUGAAGAUUAUGAAUAGGUAUUGGAGAAUGCUAAUAGUCUCAUCUCUAAAAUACAUAUGAACCACAACUCUAUCUAAAUUAAAUCUAAAUAUUGAUAAAUGAGUUUCUUAAGUAUGAUUUUACAUGUUGGAUAAUUGUCGUAUGCAUGACUAUUAAACUCUAGCGUAUAUGAACUCAUACAAGUUUAGGUGAUGGAAUCAAGUUAACUUGCAUAGAAACUUAACCUAGGUGAACUCGUAUAAACUCAGGUAAACUCACGUGUUUACAGAUGACUUUACAAAUUAACAUGCCCACUCAAAUAUUAAGUUGUCUAAACAUCCAAAAUGAUAUUGCUUAAUUUAAUGACUAAAGCACCUAAAAUAAUGAUGUUUCUUCAUUAAUCAUAUAAAAACAUUCAUUAUGCCUAUAAAUGUUAUUUACUGUGAAUGUGUUGGUCUAUCGUAUAAGAUAUGUUAACAUGUUAUUGAUUUAAUUUUUUUGUUACAGAUGUUAUGUUCAAUGAUGUUUUUUAAAAUAAACAAUUUAUGAGUCAUGUUUCGACCCAAAAUUACCCAAGUUUCACGAGGAUAGGUAAACUCAUGAGUUUGACAACCAUUGUUGUGUAUUAAAAUAAAUUUAUUGAUAUGAGCAAAAUCCAAUUUAACGUUUUUACAUGUUGAAAAGACGUUUUUACGUGUUGAAAAUGAUUAAUCUUUAACUAAAUACUAUAUGGUAUCCUUUUUAUAUUAUCCCAUUUUUUCAUCUCAACAAAUUACACAUUAAUACAUUAAUUGUAUUUUGAAACCACUCAUCCCAUACUAAACCAAUUUGUAUAAUUUAGUUCAGUUUGAUUUUUCGAAUUCCGAUGAAUCAAUUACACCCUAAAAUGGACAGGACAAAGGAAGGGAGAGCAACAUCUUUAACAUUCAUGUGUAUUUCACUGCUAACGCCUUUUUGGUGCACCCCAAUCAUUGGUAAUUCCCCUUUUUAUAUAAUACUUUUGUCUCCCUCCUUAACCAAACAACCCGUAAAACCCAACCUAUUUGAUAAUUUUAACAAAUAAAUAGUAAAUAUUAAUUCAAUCUAUUUAAGUUAUUAAAGUGCCACCUCAUCUACAUGUGAAGCAUGGACAAAUGUUUCACCUAAUAAUCCCAAUGCAACAAAGGGCUCAAACUCCAUAUAUAAUUAAUAAUUAUAUGUAUCAAUAUAAUAUUUUUUAUUUUUAAGAGUGUAAUAUUUAUACAGUAUUAAUGUAAGGAUUUUAUACAUGGUUACUAUAUCAUUUAUUUGAAUUACUUUCUUUCGAAGAGUUAAUAAUAAUUAAAUAUAAAUAAUAGAUAAUAUAAUAAUAAUAUAUAAAAUUCAUACAAUGUCUAUACAUAUAUUUUUUUUCUAAUUAAUUAUUAAAAUUUUAAUGGUCCAACAAAAUCUAAACUCUUAUUUGAUUAAUGAUGUAAAUCAAGAGUGUUUAUAGGUGGGACGAGUGGGUAGACAUGUUAAAAGGAUCUUAAGAAAUCUUCAUAUCAUUGAUAUUUUAUGAUAAAAAAUAGUAAAAAACAAAGUAAAUAAACCAAGAAAAAUAUAAGACUUGUGUUAAAAAUUAAGAAGGGGUUAGUAAUUUAGUAUAGCGGUGGAGUCUUAUGUCUUCAAGUGUCGUGCAUGCAUUUUAUGCAUUUGUUCCUUUUUGCAUGCACUCUCUCUCCUCUCUCUAUCUCUGCUGUCUUUCUCUCUCUACAGAAACACCCUCUUUCAAUCACAUACACGCGCUCACGCUUUCUCUCUCUCUCUCUCUCUCUAAAAUCAAGGUCAAUCAAUUCACGUUACCCUUUUCUGAUUUCUUCACUGUUAUUCCUCUUAUUCAGUUCACUGAUGAAAUAUACAUAACAGGUGUCUGUGUUGUUACAGAGAUUUCAGCUGAGAGGGAUAGCAGCCACAGUAAAGUUUGGUUCUUUUUGGUUCAUCUGAAUGAUCAAUUAACUUAUUUAUAGAUUUUAUUUUUGGGGGUGAGACAAAGUUUUUUACUUUUUUGUUGACCCUUUGUUAUUUACUGCGUAAAUCUCGAAACUUUUGCAUGGGUGUUUUUAAUCUUACGAGUUUUAUGAGUUUUGGGCCAAAAGGGUUUUUUGAUUUAGGGGUUUUUGAUUUUGAUUUUGAUUUCGUGUAGUUGAAUUUUGGAUUGAUGGGUUCGGACCCUUGCGUGAAUGCUCCAUGUGUGCACGAUUGGAAGAUGGGGUGGCCUCUACGAUCUGGUGGAUUCGCCCAACUAUGCAUCAAGUGCGGGUAAAUAUCACUCCUUUUCUUUUCAAUUCUAUAUAUUUCUCAUUUUUGGAUUAUGGGUUGAUUUUGUUUUGAAUCUAAGAGAUAUUUUUGGGUUUUGACUUUGAUGUAAUGUGUUUUGUUCGGGGAUUUUGCGGUUUAUAUCUGUGUGCCUAAUAUAAAGAAUCUGGUCUCAACGUUGUCAAUGUAAGUGGAUAAUUCAAAGAACAAUAUGUAUGGUACGGACUAAUUUCAAACAAUACACUUGAUUACUUGAUCAUGAAUUGAGGAAGCCAGGGUAGAAAUGGAAACUUUGAAAUCGUUGUUGUUUUAGGAUAAGGAUCAAUGUAGUUAAUUUGGGACAUAUUUCUAAAGAAUGAAAUUUAGCAUUAAUUGUUAGUAGUAAAAUAGAAAUAAUAUUGUGCCUUUUAAAAUGUUUUUUUAUAUGAUAAUCUUUUGUACUUUAAUAAAAUGAUAUCUUUUGUUGACUAUUUUUGGUAUUUUUUUGCCAUAUUAGAUUCAUGGAGGAAUGGAAGCGUGGCAUCCUUGAUCCACUGUAAGUUCAACAAUUUGGUACAUUUAAAAAAAGUGUAUCUUUUGUUGACUAAUUUUUUCAGCAUCUUCUGUCAAACCAAUGUAUUAUAGCGUCAUUCAAUCCAUGUAGUUAACCCAACCUAGUGAGAUUUAUUUGGUACAUAUCUCGCCUAAUGAGAUUAAAGUUUGAUUGUUGUUGUUCUGUCAAACCAAUCAUUUAAUGUUCAUUGCGAUAAUGGUUUGAUUGGUCCAUUUUCAUUUUUUCAUUGUAGAUUUACUAUUCUUGUACAGCUGCAUAAGUGAUUGUUGUUAUAUGUGUUUAGAGUCACAUCAUCACACCUUUAUAUGAUAAGGAGAUUAGAGUUUAUGUGGUUUACAGACAUUAGUGUAUAUUACCCAGUUGACUACGUCACUCUCUUUAGUAUAUAAUUUUUGUAAACUUUUCUUACACAUCUAUAUUUUUGAGUAAAUGGUUUCAUGAAAACCUUCAUUCUCUUAUUCUAAUGCCACAUUUUCUGCUUCCCUUGUGUAGUCUCUUGUCCUUAUUUGAAGAUGCAUCCAACUCCUCCAAAGUGUAGGGUGCAUGUUAGGGAGUAAAGUGAAAGUGCUAAUCAAUUAUAAAAUGAUCAUUCGAAUGAGUUCUCACAUAUCCAUGAGUUUUUUCUUUUUAAUCUAGGAUUUUAAUGGUUGUGCACUUACAGUGUAAAAAACUUUUACACUAUCAGUACACAACUUUUCUUAAUCUAAAUGCUUGUAUUAAAAAAAAAACAGUGUUUCCCAUUCAUUGUGAACCUGGCACUUUCAAGGAUAUUUUUCCUUUAAAAUUCAUCACCAAUUCAUAUGGAACAGUAUGUGUUGUUUUAAUUGUGAAUUAGUUGCUUCUAGGCCAUGCAAUAUGUUCUCCCUUUGCUAAUUUCCUUCUUUUAUACAUUUGGUAAUAUUGCCAUUCAUUUUGGUUUGUAAUAAUUUAUUUAAUAAUUCUUCAAAUUUCCCACUUGGAAAUGCUUAAUGUGUUACUCCAUAUGCUUCAGAUCUGCUUAUGAUAUGUCAGUUUUCUGUAAUAAAUUCCAUCGUCAAAAAACCGGGUGGGUGGAGUGUAAAUUUUGCAACAAGGUAAAACAUGUUCUAUUCUUUAAUUUUUCCCAUUUAAAUUCUAUUCAUGCAUUGCCUUUCUCUCCAUAUUCAUUGAAAUCUAUUUGACUUGGUUUGACAGCCUAUCCACUGUGGAUGCAUAGUAUCUAGAUCUUUAUUCGAGUACCUUGACUUCGAUGGCAUAGGUUGUGUUAGCUGUGUAGCUUUCCAACUUCGUACGGUAAGUUUAAUCUGGAUAUUUUCUAGUGUAAUUUUUAGUUUGACAUUAAUAGUUAUGGUUAAUCUCUGUUUAAUGCAACUGCCAUUAUUUUGUCGCAUAUUUGUUGCUAAAUUUGCUUUCUCACGUUUGCUCAUAGAUGUCUAUAUGUUCAUCCCAUUAUUUAAUGCAAAACUGCUCACUAGGAUUAGCCUUUUGUGACUAUUUUAAUGAUGCAUAUUAUCUUCAAAUAUUUGUUAGUAAAAGGGUUGCCAGCAAUUUAAAUAUCCGGCCUUUCGUUUUUUGUUUCCCCUCUCUCGUUUCCUCUAUCAAAUUUGUGUGUUGGAUAUCAGUACUUCAACGAUGAUUGGUUAUCAGUGUUCCCUCUGUUAUACAAAAAACCACAUGUCAUCAUCUGUAUGGAAUGCAAUAAUGCAUGUUUAUGCUUAUGAUCAUUUGAAGGACCUCAAUCUUCUGUUACACUAGAGUUAUGUUUGUAAUUAUCUUCUGCAAAUUUUUAUUACUUGGUUGUUGGGGCUUCUACUGAUUCUUUGCCUUGGUAUUCUUUUAGGGUUGUUAUUUAACAUAUGUUGGUACGAAUAAUUAUGGAGAUGCUCCACUUAGACUUAUAUUGUGCUACUUAAUUCUGUAACAGUUCACAGAUUCCUAUUAUUUGAUGUUUUUCUGCAGACGAGGAAUACUGAAAAUCUUAAUGGGUCUAUUUCAUCAACCAAAAAUAAUUCAAGUGAUUGGCGUUCUGCUCAUAUCGAUGAAACACUGUUUGUGGAUAAUAGUGAUGAAGGAAAACUUAUGCAGUUGUGCAGAAUUGUUGAAGCUAGUGAAUCCAGCCGUUGGAAUAAUGCUCGUAGAGAUAGCAUAAUGUCAUGCAGUGGACAAAACAACCAAGAAGUGAAGUGCUCAUUGGAGGAAGUGGAUACCGGAUUUUCAAAUAUGAUUAAACCAUUGGUUCAAUCACUAGCGUUUUCCAAAUUAGAAAAUAAUAGAUCAACAUGGGAGAUUAAAAACAUACAUGAAUCAACUGCACAACCAUCUUUGAAUAUGUAUCUGGGAAAUCCGUCAGGGAACAACACUAUCCUGCCUUCUUCUGGAGAGAUCCUAGAAGCAAGACUUGAGGGAAACGGAUCUCCUCCCUUUCACCAAGGGCAAAGAUCUCGCCCUAUAUGGCCCAAACCAUUGAAGACUGGGAUAUCCAUGAAUCUGGAACCAGAUAAAGGAACACUUUCUCAUGCACGGAUUGCCCGACCACCUGCUGAUGGUAGGGGCAAGAGUCAGUUACUUCCUCGAUACUGGCCCAGGAUCACUGAUCAAGAGUUGGAGCGAUUGUCUGGAGAGUAUCCUUUUUUCUAAGUUUUUAAUUUUAUUCUUCUUGCACAUCUAUAGUACACUGUCAUGAUAUAAAGUUGAUUUAAGGAAGUAUCCCUUAAUGUUAUGAUAACAGUUUGAAGUCCACUGUAGUGCCUUUAUUUGAGAAGGUGUUGAGUGCCAGUGAUGCCGGUCGAAUUGGUCGUCUUGUUCUCCCAAAAGCCUGUGCUGAGGUAUGUUGAAGGUUUUAUUUUCUUUCUUUCCUUUUUUAUGUGCUUGUUUUUCUACUGGUCUGUAUGUGUAUAUGGAACUCUGUUUCUGCAGUUUUUCUUAAAAAAAAAUUCAAUAAAAAUAGAUUAAGUUCUCAAUUGUCUUCCAAUAAUAUACAGGACAUGAAGCUGGUCCUCCAAAGUUGUUGGACAUCAAUUUGGUGCUUCGUAGUGUAAAGUAAGCAUGUAUUUAGGGACCAAAUAUACAUUCAGGGACUAAGUUGAUGUCAAUAUAAGCUUUGAGGGACCAAAUUGAUGUCCAAAACCUUUGAAGGACCAACUUGAUGUUGAAUUUUGGGGAUGAAUCUGUGUACUUAGUCUAAAUAAAUUAAAGAGAUAUGUGUUUACUUUGUAAUUGCCGUUCAUCUUACAAUCUUGCAUAUAUUCGCAGGCUUAUUUUCCUCCUAUUUCGAAUUCUGAAGGUCUUCCUUUGCGGGUCCAAGAUGUGAAGGGGAAUGAGUGGACAUUUCAGUUCAGAUUUUGGCCUAAUAACAAUAGUAGGAUGUAUGUAUUGGAAGGUGUGACCCCUUGCAUACAGGCCAUGCAAUUAUGUGCUGGUGAUACUGGUAUGCAUCAAUCCGGGGAACGGACUCCUUGCACAUAUCUAUUGCAUUACAAUUUUGAACUUUUAUUCAAAUCUAUUUGGUAUUUUGAUUUAUGUAACAUUGUUUAAAGAAAUACUUGUGUUUCUAUAGCAAACACGUUUGUAGUUUCAUUAAAUGAUUAGCAGCCAUGGCUACAUAUAGGAUAACUAUGUGCUAGUAUUACUAUUCUGAUAAUGAUUUAGGACAAAUGUAAGAAUUCAAACCCUUACAAAUUGAUCUGUUGUAUAUUAUUUGUUGUUUCCUACAGAGUGGAACUGCAGAUAUUUUGGAGACACUAAUAUGUUUUGCAAAUAUGAAAUCACUAAUCGCUUACGAUCUUUUUGUUGCAGUAACAUUUAGUCGGAUAGAUCCCGGGGGAAAGCUUGUUAUGGGUUUCAGAAAGGCAUCGAAUUCUAUAGAUACACAGGUUUUGACACAAAAUUUUGCACUUCACUAGCUGUGGCACGGUCUCUUCUUAGUAUAAUACAUCUUUAUUUUUCUUCUGAUGCUGAAUAUGAUAAGUGGCUAUCGUUUAAACAGGAUGCUUCUACGUCUGCCCAUUCUAAUGGCAUUUCAACGAAGGGAACAACCAAUUCUGGUGGAACCGAGAAUCUGCCACCGGGUAGCAGUUUUGCUGAUCUUCUCCAGAUGAUAAAAGGGAAUGGGGAACCUCACUUAAAUGGGCAUCUGGAACAUCUUCAUUUGGGUGCUGGAGCUGCAGGUUUGCUUAAAGCAGAAAAUUGCGAGAAAACAAACAAUCAUUCACCACAGCAACCAAUUCCAGUUUCUGAGAAGAGGACUCGCAAUAUUGGGCCUAAAAGCAAGAGGUUUUGCAUUGAUAACGAAGAUGCUAUGGAGUUGAGACUUACAUGGGAAGAAGCACAGGACUUGCUUCGGCCACCCCCAAGUGUCCAGCCAAGUAUUGUCACAAUUGAGGACCAAGUAAUUGAAGAAUAUGAGGUAUGUACGAGAAUGUCAUAUGAGUACGUCUUCUUCUUUGGUAGGUUAGCUAUUACAAGGUGAUUAUGGACUGAUAUAGCUUUGACCAUCAUGUUCAAAUUUCUUUUACCUAGCUAAUCCGGUCCUCUGCUUCGUUUCAUUUAGGAACCUCCGGUUUUUGGAAAGAGAACUAUAUUCUGUGCCUGUUCAUCUGGGUAAGAAUCCAUCACUUUUUUUUAUAUUUAGGCAUUUAGCAAUUAGCAUCAUAUUUUGGCACUGUAGAAAGUCUCUACUGGUGAUUACUUAUUCAUUACGUGUUCUUGCCUGUGAGUUUGUUGAAACAGAUAAUAACAUUUUGGUAUUUUCUUGGAUCUAUGUCUGUCAUCACAAGAAUAAUACUUACUAUCAGAAUUAGGAAUUAGAUCUUCUUCAUUCUCUACUAAAGCAUCCAAAUUUGUCAUAUUGAUGUGUUAGCAAAUUCUCAGUUCGUGCUUUAAUAUGUUAACUAUUCCAUCCAGGGGGAAAGAACAAUGGGCUCAAUGUGAUGAUUGCUCUAAAUGGCGAAGACUACCAAUCGAUGUUCUUCUUCCUCCUAAGUGGACAUGUUUUGAAAACGUUUGGGAUGCUAGCAGGUGCACCAUGAUUAUUAUUUAUACCGCCUCUUUAUAUGUGAGUGAUCAUAUGGUUUACAAUUUUUAUUGUGGACAAUGUUUUUUCAGGUCUUCAUGUUCCAUGCCAGAGGAGAAGAGUUCACGGCAAUUCGAAAAUCUUCUGAAACCCAACAAAGGUGUGAUCUUAUUAUCAAUGUUUGAGUACUAAUUUGAAUUUAUGUUUUUUUAGGGAUCAAAUUGGUACACAUGAAAAUGUAUAAGGACUAAAGUGAUUAUUCAGCCUUAGUAAUAUUUAUUUGGUAGCUGCAGGGUAGGAAAUAACAAAUUGAAAGUGAAAAAUAAUCUUGCAAAAAUAUGGAGCUUAUAAAAGGAAAUAAUCUAGAAUUAUUUUCUGAAAGUUGCCAAACAUGGAUUUUAAGGCAAAAAUAAGCUGCUUAUAUGAGAAAAUAACUAUACCAAACAUGCUGUAGGACUGCACUUCUACUUCCUUUUGUUCUAUACUUCAUUAGGCACAAUUGUUAUUUCCUAUUUUGUCCUUAUUUGGUUAGUAUAAUAGUUCCCAAAUCUUUCUGGAUGCACUUAUGUUUCCCAGAUUUUAAGAAGCGAAAAACUCUAGAAAAUGGCAAGUCAAUCAAAGAGCAUGAGCCUUGUGGAUUAGAUGCUCUUGCCAGUGCAGCAGUUUUAGGAGAAAAUCUUAUGGACCCUGCCGAGUCAUCAGCUGGAGCCACCACAAAACAUCCUAGACACCGUCCCGGCUGCUCUUGUAUUGUGUGCAUUCAGCCCCCUAGUGGAAAGGGGAGACAUAAGCCAACCUGUACAUGCAAUGUGUGCAUGACCGUAAAACGCCGGUUCAAAACCCUUAUGCUACGAAAGAAGAAACGCCAAUCGGAACGCGAAGCAGAUGCUGCUGCUAAAAAAGAUAACAAUCACCAGAGAGAUGAGUCAAAUGCCAAUGGAGCGUCAAAAGAUGAUACAAGCCAUUUGGAGAAAGAGAGAGGACUUAAGCCCAGGGUGGGCGAGUCCAGCGCUGGACGAAUAGACUUAAAUUCUCAUCCCAACCGCGAAGAUGCACAAAUGGAUAUAACAGGACUUAGCAUGUCUAUUAAUCAUCUUGAAAUUACAAACCAUCAAGCAAGGGAAUAUAUGAAUCCGAAUGGCUUAAAAAACAGCGAUGUGCAGGUUAGUCAACAUUCUUCAUUACUCACUCAAUCUAAUGGAGAAGGUUAGGAAUACUUCCCUGUCUAUAAAGGGGAAAAAGGUCAAAACAAUCUUUCUUAACAAUUUAUUUUUAUCUUUCUCCUUGCACUCUCACAAAUUAUAUAUAUUUUUGGUUUCUUUUUCAAAAGGGUGGUCAAAGAUAGUUUUUUUUUUUUACAACCUAGAGACUGUAAUUUUGUUCCCCUUAUAUUUUGAAAGAUUUUACUUCAUGGAAAUGAGUUCUUGCACAUUUCUUUACUUGACAGUGUAUUUGCUUUUAGUUUAUCAGAAUGAAAGAUAGGAACAAAAGUAUACUUCUGUCUGUAAAUCUUUGUUUAUAUUUGGUUUGGUUUUGCCGUGAGAAACUGCCACAUAAAGGUUGCAUAUAUAUAGUCAUGCAAGUACUUGUUACAUUGCUGCAUGGUUGGAGCGAGUUUAGAUGCCACAAUUUAUUAUAGAAUCAAUGGUUGCAUAACAAACUGUAGGUGCUAGAGUCUCAUAAAAGAAGCGAGAAAGAGUUAUAUUUAUGGAAAAUUUGGGGUGGUAAAAGUUUACUACCUCCAUUGUCAAAUAUAAAUACAACUGGAGAAUUUCAAUCUUAAUAAAUAUAAGAAAAUAGUAAAAACUUCGUAAUAUUUUGUCAAAAACUAUUCUGUAUCCAAAUAAAUAUCGAUGAUGGGUAAUUUUGUAAUUGUAAUUUUUUUGUACAAAAAAAUACGGGGAGAUAACCAUUUUUACGAGGAGGGAGUAUUUAGUACUUAAAAUUGCUUAAACUUAUAUACCAUUAAUGAUUUAGUAUAGUGGGAGGUAUAAAGUAUAAACAAAGUUGUGCAAGAGAAAAAUUGUAUGUACUAUCUAAGAAUUAUUUAAAUGAGAAAAAGAAGUAUACACGAUAGUAGAGAUUUUUAAACUAUCACAUUAUCCACCUUUCAUUUUUAUUUAUUAUUAACUUUUAAAUAAAAGUAUACAAACAAUGGUGCACUAAUUAUAUAUAAAUAUUUAUACUAUCAGUGUAUAGAUAUUAUACAUUUUAUAUUAUACUACAAUCCACCAUUUAUAUUUAAUCAUUAUUAACUUUAAAUAUAAAUCAAACAAUGAAUAAUGAUUGAUAUACAAAAUGCAUAUAAAAUUAAAUUUUUCCAUUGAAAACAUAUAAAUACACUUAUUCCGAAAAAUGGAAAACAUUUUACAUGAUAAAGUGAUAUAUAUAAUAACUUAUGUCAAAAUAUUCUCAUAUUAUAUGAAAAUUAUAAAUCUUCGCCUUAUAAUCAUACAUGAAUGAUUCAGAUUAAAAGUUAGUUAUUCAUCAGACGAUUUUUUUUAAUCUUGAACAAUCAAAUAAGAUUCAAUGAUCCAUAUCUACUCGUUAUAUAUAUAAAAUGACUCAAGUGAAAAAAAAUUCAUAUCAUAUAAAAACUAUAAAUAUGGGUCUUACAAUUACACGUGGACGAUGCAAAUUAAAAGUUACUUAUUAGUCAGAUCAUUAUUUUUCUAAAAUUUUGACCGUUGAAAUAAGAUCCAAUGAUCUAUAUCUACUUGUUAUAUAUAUAUAUAGUAUUUAUAUUUGUAAUAUUAUAUUUAUAUAUACAUAUAUGUUAUAUUUGUAUUUAUAUAAUAUAAAUAUAUAAUAAUAUACUUAUAUUUAUAUUAUGAAUAUAAAAUAUUUAUAUCAUAACUAUAUUAUAUAUAGAUUAUAUUUAUAUUAUAAAUAUUUUAUAAUAUAAAUAUAUAUUUAUAUUUUUAUAUAUCUGUGUAAUAUUUUUAAAAAUAAAUUAAUUAUUAAAUUGUCCAAAUGAACUAAUUUGAGUUGAAUUGAACAAUUUGUAAUCUUUAAACGAGCCGAACUUGAAUAGAGGUGACAAAGUUAUCCAUAAUCCAAAGUUCAUCUAUAUCUAUAAGAAUAUGUUCAUCCAAAUCAAUCCAUUAGAACUAACAAAUUUAAAUGGAUAUAAUCAAAGAGAAAAAUAUAUAUAUACUGAAAGUGUAAGAGUUUUUUAAAUUGUCAUUGCAUCAUUCACUGUUCAUUGUCAAUUAUAAUUGACUCUUAAAUAAAAGUAAUAGAAAUUAAUGGUAGAUGAUGCAUUAACUGUAUACAAAUAUUUACAUAGUCAAUACAUAGAUAUUACACUCUAUAAUUGAUGACUUUAGUAUUGGAUGAAUUUUCAUUCUUCCAUCAUAUAAAUGAUUCAAUAUAUCUAACCUGAAUAAAUAUUCAAUUCAUCUAAAAAACAAACAUUCAAAAAAUAAAGAUGCCUUUUCAAGGUAAACCACCUGUAUGAUUGUCCAUUCACAUAAAGAAUAAAGAUGCUUCUUCACAUUGAUGGGAUGCCAUUUUUUUCUUAAUUGAUUUAGACAGCUUUUUAUAAAUAUCAGUUUUCAAUAAAAUAUUAUGAUAAAUAUCCUGAAAACUGUCUUUGUUGUUUCAAUUUCAUUCACUACUUAAUGUUCACUUUCUUAUAGUGUUUCUGACUCUCAUUUUUUUUAUUUUUAAAAAUUUGUUUAUAAGUACAUAAUAUAUAGAAAUAUUUGUUAACAACUCUACACAUAAAAUCUUAAAUGAUGUAUUAUUAUAGAAUACUACAAUUUUAUUAACUUCAAAAAACACAUAAAAAAAAGUAAAAACUCUUUGAAAAAAAUUAAAAUGUUUUUUAAAAGUGAUUUUCUUAAAAAUGUUAUUUUAAAAAAUAUUUCAUUGAAAUUUGGUUUUUAAAAUAAUGAUUUUCUUCAAAAAUGUUUUUAGUUCCACUUAAAAAAAUCAAAUGGAUUAGAUAUUCAUUCAUCCAUAUUUAUGAAAAUGGAGUCAUGGAUGAUUUGGAUAGAUGAGAAUUCAUCCAUUGAGUUUAGAUAUAGAUGGAUUGGAUAAUUUAAAAUAUGAUUUAAAUGGAUUUAUAUGAAUUGAUGCAUGACUUUUCAUCCAUCUAUUACGAUCCAAAUUCAUCAAUUUGCUAACUAUAAAUUCGAGCUAAAAAAUAACUCGUAUCAAACUCAAGUUGAGUUUCGAACUAAGCUCAAGUUUGACUCGAUUUGACUCGUUUACAGCCCUAAACCCCAGGAGACAAUUAAAAUCAUUGAAUACACUUGUCUUAGACACACGUGACUUUAAAUAUACUUAGUUUUAUAUGCAUAUAUCAUUAGAUGUGAUUGUCACUAGAUACCAUAACUGGUUGGAUGAAUAUAGUUACUAAACAUUUGAUAUAAUAUUCUAAUUUCCCUCAAUAUAUAGCUUUGGAUAGGAUUAAAAUAUUUUUUGUUUGUUUAUUUAUUUCAGAUUAAAAAAGCUUUAAGUAUAGAUAAACACAAACAUAUGUUUACUUCCUAAAUUGAAUUAUUUAUUAUUCAUCUAAACAACUAUCAUACUUUACCAGUAUACAAUAGGAUAAAACAGGUGCAAUACUUAAGUGCUAGUGAUACAUGUAAUCUAUUAUAAUAUAGACUUUUUUCUAUCCCACUAUUAAAUUAACUUUGAUACCGUUAAUUUUUUUUCCAAAUCUAUAUGGUGGUUCUGUCAAAAAGAGGAGGUUGUUUCGAGAUGGAAGUUAAAGAAGGAUGAAUAAUUUCUCAUACACCCUGUAAUAGUAAUAGUAAUAAUCAUAUAAUAUUAAUAGCAAGAUACCCGUGUAUCAGCGAUCCACGGGGCAAUACUUUUUUGCUGUAAGAUUAAUAAUACAUAUUACAUGUUUAAGAAACAUAUGUUACUCGUGCAUUCAUAUUGUUAAGAACACACAUGUGAUCUGUACAUUCGCAUGACUAAAAACAUACAUGUUACUUGUACAUUCGUAUUACUAAGAAAACACAUAUUACUCAUACAUUCGCAUAGUUAAAACACACAUGUUACUUAUACAUUUAUAUUAUUAAGAAUACACGUCUUACCUGUGUAUUUGCAUAUUCAAUCACAUAAGAAAAAUAAAUGUCAAUUUUUAAUUUGAAUUUUCUAAUGGAAAUAACAAAUUGAAAGUAUGAAACAUGAUACCAUAUUAUUUUUAUUAAAAUAAAUAUUUUAAAAUUUAUAGAAAGUGAAAUGAUUUUUUCAAUUUUAAAUACGAUAUUUUUAAUGAAAAAAUGAAAAUCAAAUCAUUAUACUAAAUGAGUUUUUUUAUUAAAAAUAUAUUUAAAAGUUAUAAAAAACUUGAAUUUGGAAUUUGACUUUUCAAUUAUAAUAGAGAAAAAUUAAAAUUCAAAAAAUAUGAAAUAUUAAAAUUCAAUUGGAAAAAUGUUACAAAACUUUGAUGAGGUGUAAAAAUGCAAUUAUUCUUAGAUAAAUAGUAAACGUUAAAUAAUAUACAUAGAUUAGUGUAAAGAAAUAGUUUGGAUGUGAAAAAUGAUUUCAAUCUCAUCUAAUUCUCAAUGUCUAUUACAUUUUAACAUAACAAAACAUAAGUAUUGUAAACACUCAAUUUUGGUGGGGUAGCGACAUAGACCAAUCGAUAAUUAAUAUUAAAUUAUUAACAUAUAAAAUAUAAAAAAAGCAAGGAUAGUGUGAGAAGGUACAUAGUAAUAACAUGUGACAUGAAUGAGUUUUUUUUUUUUAAUUAAUAACUUAGAACAUUUUAAGAUGAGAAAAUGUGAGGAAAAUAUAAUGUGGCAUGUAGGAAAACAUGUGAGGAGGAUGUGACAUGUGGCAUAAUGUGAGGAGAAUAUGACAUGUGGCAUGAAGGGAAAACAUGUGAGGAGAAUAUGACAUGUGAUAUAAUGUGAGGAGAAUAUGACAUGUGGCAUGAAGGAGAAACAUGUGAGGAGAAUGUGACAUGUGACAUGAAGGAGUUUUUUUUAUAUGACAUGUGGCAUGAAGGAGUUUUUUUUAUAUGACAUGUGGCAUGUAGGAAAACAUGUGAGGAGGAUGUGACAUGUGGCAUAAUGUGAGGAGAAUAUGACAUGUGGCAUGAAGGAGAAACAUGUGAGGAGAAUGUGACAUGUGGCAUGAAGAAGUUUUUUAUUAUAUUGUUAAUAGAUGAGUUACAAAAGAGAGUAAGAUACUGUGUAACAAGAAGUGAUUGAAGGAAAUAAAGUGAGAAGAUGACUUACCCCAACACUAAGAGUUAGUAUUCCUAACUAGGAUCGCUGAGAAGAUGACUUACCCCAACACUAAGAGUUAGUAUUCCUAACUAGGAUCAUUGAGAAGAUGACUUACACCAACACUAAGAGUUAGUAUUCCUAACUAGGAUUGCUGAGAAGAUGACUUACCCCAACACUAAGAGUUAGUAUUCCUAACUAGGAUCGCACUGCCUAUUUUGUCCGUGCUCAUACAAUGUCUGUCUAAAUUAGGAGGGACAUGGACAAGCCUAUUUUUAAAUAAGGCAUGAAAUAUUAUGUUUUGUCCAUACUAAAUAUUAGCAGAAAGGAUUUGCAGACCGACCUAAAUAAAUAAAAAAAUAUAAAUGUAUAUGUGUUAGUCAUACAAAAUAAAUAAUACAUAAUUUGCAAAUAAAUAUACAAACGUAUUUAUCAUAAUAAACAAUCAUACAAAUAGAAUAAUACAUAAAAUACAGAUGCAUAUAUAGUACAAAAUAUGUAUGGUAUAUAAUUUGCAUCAAAAUACAAAAUGAGUGCUAUAUAUAUAUAUAUAUAUAUGAGGAGAGAUCCAUUUACACCCAAUUUAAGUUACUCUAAUUACAUUUAAUCUCAGUCAUUCAUUUUCUUAAAUCCAGCUGGCCAAUUGAGUGAAAUUUAAAAGAUAUUUAAGAUUUCUCUUUUUUUCUCUCAUCAUUUAUUUCAACCACUCAUUUGGUCUAUUGGAGUUAAGAAAAUGAAUGGCUGAGAUUGAGUGUAAUUAUUGUAACUUAAAUUGAAUGUAAACGGAUCCAUUGUAUAUGUAUUAUAAUAUUAUAUAGAUUUGGAUUUGAAUCGUAAUCAAUGGAUGGAAAGUCAUCCACCAAUCAAUAUAAAUCCAUUUAAAUCAUGUUUUCAAUUAUUCAAUCCAGCUAUAUUUAAACAUAAUAGAUGAAUUCGAAUUCAACCAAUCUAUUGAAGAAUACAUUUUAAUCGAUUGGACGUAUAUCCAAUUCACUUGAUUUUUUUUUUAAAUUGAAACUAAAAAUACUUUUGAAGAAAAUCAUUUUUUUAAAAAUUCACUAUUUCAAUCAAGCAAUUUAUAAAAUCACUUUUUAUUAUUAUAAAAUAUCACUUUUAAAAAUAACAUUUUUUGAAAAAUGUUUUUUAAUAUUUUAAAGAAACACUUUUUAAAGAAAAUGAUUUAAAAGAAAAAGUGAUUUUAAUUCCAUGAGGACAAUGAAGCCUGGCUUUGGUUGAGCUUUCCAAUUCAAUAGAGCAUUUGCUUCACUCCCUCUUCGCAUUGCAGCUGAAGCAGGUGAAUAGGCUAUUAGGAAUGUAAACAAACCCAUUAAAGUAAUAUUUGGAAAUAUGAAUAUCGUGAACUUUUCAAUCACUAAUGAUUUAGUAAAUAGGAUGUUGCAAAUACUUAUAAUAUACUUAAAAGUCAUAAAACUCAGCAUAACCAUUAAUUUGUAAAUUUUCAUGUUAACUUCACGGGUUAAUUUGUAAAUUUUCAAGGAGGAAAAUGUUCGUGCUAAUAAAUUGGCAACCUAGUGUUGCUUCAAAACGGAAAUCUUGGUGGAAUUCUAUUCCUGGUUUUAUCCUUGAAGACUUCUCUAGAAAUAGUCUUAGUUUGCCUAAUUAUAGAUUUACUCACAUGUAAUCUUUUGUGUUUCUUUGUAAUCGGUUUUCUUUCAUUCAAUAAAUUUCUUGGUUUCUCGGCACCUUUGCCUUAAAAAAGAUAAAAGCUGACCAAGACUAUGGUCAACUAAAAGAAAAGUAGUGUAUCAGUUUGUGCAAUUCUACGUAAUAACUUGAAUUGUCUAUUGGGUAUUGCAUUUUAUGAGUUUCAUAAUUUGAAUAGUUGAUUAUUAUUACGAAAUAAUUCAACUUUAAUAAAGAGAUGAUGUUAACUAAAAGUUCUUUUAAGAAGAAAAUAUAGUUGAAAAAGUGUUUUUCAAUUUUUUUAAGAAACACUUUUUUAAAGAAAGUGAUUUUUUGAACUUUAAAAUAAAAUAUUUUUUGCAAUAUUCUACCGGCAUGUGAUUCAAAUUCAUCCAUUACUAAACUUAUCUAUUGAAUUAUAUCUAUUUAAAUUCAUUAGCUUUAAUGAAUAGAUUUGGAUGAAUUUAUUUUUCUUGGAUUUGGAUGGAUUGUGGAUUAUGGAUAAUUUUGUCUCCUCUAAUCUAUAUAAUAUACAAAAUACAAAUAUAUAUAUAUAAUAAGAAAAUGAUAGCAUUUUCUCACAUUUGAUAUACAAAUGCGUAUAUACUAAAUAGAAUAUCAUUCUCACAUUUGAUAUAUAUACAUAUAUAUUUGCAUAUUUGAUGUUCGAUGCUUUCUCUACUAAUGUUCGCAGGCCGCCCAUUAGAAAUGUCUAACACCAAUAGGGCAUGUUGGACAGGUAUUUUAGGGAGGAUAUAUCACAUUUUCAUACCCUGCAGAGUCCCAUAGACUUUGCCUAAAUUACGAAUGAUAUUAAGAGUUCUGCAUUCAUUGAGAAAGUGCCUACAUUCAUUCCUCAAAUCUCCCAAUUCCCUGUCACAAAAGAAAUUCAAUUCCAUUUUCAUUUUGGCACACAUACAUUAUUUUACAUAAAUUAAGAAUAACAUUUAAUUAGGUGAAUGAGUUGACAAUUUUGAGGAAACAAAUUAAAGAAGGAAUGAAGACAGUCAUGAAAUUUGGUUAGAGAGUUGGAAGGAGGAAUGAAUUAACAAUGUUAAAUAUAAAAGUAAUAUUUGAUUGUGAGAUAGGAAAACCACCCACAUGUCAUGUUAUACCACCAGUACGUACUCUACCUAAGUUUUAUCCUAUAUAAUUAGGGUGUAUGUGGUUACAGUUUAAACCGUGAAAACGAUAUAUUCGAACCAAAUCACAAAAUAUGGUUCAGUUCAGUUCAGUUAUUUUAAGAAACUAUUUAUGUUCGGUUCGAUUGAUAGUAGGAAUCGUUGGAACCAAAUUGAACCCAUAUUAAAAAAUAUAUACUAGAGAAUUCUUCAACCAAUUUUGUGGCUUAAAUUAUAAAUUUUGUGUGAAUUGUAGUUUAUAUAUGUUACUAAAUUGUUAUUAUAUUAAUGUUAUAUAUAUUAAUAUUUACUAAAUUGUUAUAUAUAUGUGAUAUAUUCUCAAUGUCAUAAUGAUUUGUAACAUAUCUUCUAACUUUUGUGGUACUGGAUUUAAAAUUAACAUAUACCAUAAAUUAUUAUACAUGUAUUGUUAUAUACGUUAUUAAAAGUGAAUUGUAAAUUGUUAUAUAUGUUACUAACAAGAAAUUACGAGUUUCAAAUUUUUAAUGAUAAUAAUAGUAAUGCUUUUUUCUUUUAUGCACAAACAAUAUAUCUUGUAAUACAUUUUGAACUUUCAAUCGCUACAAAAAAUAAAAAAACCAUAGAAGUUGUGGAACUGAACCAUUCAUGAGUAGUUCGGUUCAGUUCUUACAAUAAAAUCCACGGUUAAUUGAGGUGAACAGAAUCAUACAAUUGUGUUUAGUACGGUCAGUGAAUUACACCAAAAACCAAACUUCUACACCCCUGUAUAUAAGAUCCCAUUGACAUAACCAUUUACCUAUCAUACACCUUUUGCUCAUUAACCCAAUUCAAAACCAUGGAAUCUCCUUUUGUCUCUUUACACCAAGAGAUUCUCUCAAUAAGAUUCUGGUGUCUUGUUUUCUUAGUAUUUGCCUUCACACUACUCCCCAAAUUUUUGAGCCAGAGCCGAAAUACAACUGAAAAAUCCAGAAAAAGAAGACUCCCUCCAGGUCCAAAACCAUGGCCUAUAGUUGGUAAUCUUCCUGAAAUGAUUACAUGCAAAUCUCCAUUCCGAUGGAUACAAAAGGUGACGAAUGAUUUCGGAACCGAUAUUGCAUGCAUCCGUCUAGGUAACGUUCAUGUCAUCACUGUAUCUUGUCCUGAAAUCGCAUGUGAGUUCUUGAUAAAACAAGAUGUUAUUUUUGCUUCAAGACCCACCAACUGGUCCAGUGAGUAUGUCUCACUUGGAUAUCUAACCACAGCUCUAGCACCCUAUGGAGAACACUGGAAGAAGAUGAAGAAAGUCAUCACCAACGAGAUGGUUUCGCCAUUGAAGCAUCAAUGGCUUCAUGGAAAAAGGGUAGAAGAAGCUGAUAACCUAGUUAGAUAUGUGUACAAUAAAUGCAAGAACGAUGGCUUUGUUGAUGUGAGGGAUGCUGCUCAACAUUAUGAUGGUAAUAUUAUUAGGAAGUUGGUUUUUAAUAGAAGGUACUUUAAUUUGGAAAUGGUAGAGAAGAUGGAGGACCUGGUUUUGAAGAAGUGGAGCAUGUAGAAGCACUUUUUACUGUGCUUAAUUACCUCUUUGCCUUUUCUAUUUCUGAUUAUAUGCCAUGUUUGAGAGGACUUGAUUUAGAUGGUCAUAAAAGAGAAUUGAAAAAAGCAGUUAAUAUCUUAAGGAAAUAUCAUGAUCCCAUUAUUGAAGAAAGGAUUCAACAAUGGAUUAAUGGGACAAAGACAAAUAAAGACGACUUGCUAGACAUUCUCAUCACAUUGAAAGAUGCAGAUAACAAUGAACUAUUGACAAUGGAGGAAAUUAAAGCUCAAAUUGUGGUAAUUAUCUUCUAUCGUGCGCCAUUAGUAACUCACAUUCCAAAUUUUGGCAGAGUACUCAUAAAUGAUAUUAUGCUCCAUGCAAUCAUUCUUUCAUUUUUCCACCCUAAUAUAUAUAUAUAUAUGGUGAGUCACUCAAGUGAGAAUAUGAAAAUUGUAAGAACAGUAAAUUUGGGUUUUACAAACAAAUAUAAAUGAUUAGAAUUAAAAAUUAGUUAUUGAUUACAUGAUCACUUUAAAAAAGUCAUGUGUAUGUAUAUUUUAACCUUGACCAUACAAAUAAUAUAUAAUGAUCCAUAUUAACUCUUAUCAUUUUUUAUAGCAAACUUUAAACUUCUUUUUCCACAAAGUAAAUUAUUUAUCUUUCACUUACCUUUCAUAUUUCAUUUUUAGGCGUAUAUAAAAAAACAAUGCAAAAACUAAAGGGCAACUAAAAAUUAUUAUAUAUUGGUUCUCGUAAUAUAAUUAGAUAUAUUUUGAUGAUAAGUUAGUUUAAUGGAUGUACAUUGAGUGAUGGUGCAUCAUGUAUUAUGUAUGUCACUUUUAGUAAAUAUUCAAUAAUUAUAAACAUUUUAGUUAAUUAGUAUAAAUGAUGCACUAGCCUUACUAAAACCUACCAUUUUUUCUUUGAUGAUAGAGAGGGUAUAGGUAACAGAGAAAUAUUGAUAUUUCUAUCAGUGAUGAUUAUAAAAGAGGCUGCCACUAUUCCAGAGAAUUAUUCUGGUCAUGUAUAGUACUUGAUUUGUAAGGCUAAACAAAUAAAAUAUUGGUAUCUCAUUAUAUUAGUUUACUUUAAAUACUGGGCUUUUAAACACUACUUAAUCUCAUAGUAAUUUAGAAAAAUAUAUUAAUUUUGUUUAUCUAGACUUAAUUAUCAUAACUAAUUAAGUAAUAUAUAAUUUUUUUUCGAGAGCAACAUUAAUGAGUUAAACUAUGACACGUAAAAUAUAAAUGCAUAUAUAUUCAAAUUAAGCCUCCAAAAAUUAGUAUUACUCCAUUUUUUAUCCCUUUGAAAAAAUAUUUGUCUCUAAAGAUAACAAUAUAAUGUCCCACAUAUAUAAUUUAAUUGGUAAAAUUAUGACACAUCACAUGAGCUCACGGAUUUAGGUCUCAUAUCAUUCUUAAGAGUCUCCUAAUGACCCAUCUAUUGAAAUAAUAAUAUUAUUAAAAAAAAAUGUCUCAUUUAAUUAAAAAAAAUUAUUUGGUACUAUCAGGGUAUCCCCCCACCCUUUGAGUAAUGAAUUAAUCUUUUUCGGGGUAAGUAAUUGUCUCUCCCAAUAAGUGUUACUUACCGGAAUCGAAUCAUUGACAUUUUGGUCAUACUAGGGAUCAUGCAGUGCCUUACAUCACUAAAAGAGUUUAUUUUCAUAUAAAAAUUUAAAUAAUAUUUUUAUUUAGUAUUAUUUAUUUUAAAAUCCUUAUAUAUUGUAGGAAGUGAUGCUUGCAACAGUGGACAAUCCCUCAAAUGCAUUAGAAUGGGGACUUGCUGAAAUGUUAAAUCAGCCUGAGUUACUUAAAAAAGCAACAGAAGAAUUGGACAAUGUUGUUGGCAAGGGAAGACUUGUACAAGAAUCAGAUUUUCCAAAGCUCAACUAUGUCAAAGCUUGUGCAAGAGAAGCUUUUCGUCUUCACCCCAUUGUUGAUUUUAACAUUGUCCAUGUUGCCAUGUCAGAUACAAAUGUUGCUAAUUACUUUAUCCCAAAGGGUAGCCAUAUUCUGAUAAGAAGACAAGGAAUUGGCCAAAACCCUAGAGUUUGGAAAGACCCACUGAAGUUCAUACCAGAAAGCCAUCUUAAGAGUGAUGGGUCCAAUUUGGUUUUGACUGAACCAAGUUUGAAUUUGAUAACAUUUAGCGCUGGAAGACGUAGUUGUCCUGGAAUCAUGCUUGGAACUUCAAUGACUGUUAUGUUGUUUGCAAGGUUGCUGCAUGGUUUCACUUGGAGUGUUCUACCCAAUGAAUCAUGCAUUGAUCUCUCUGAAUCUAAAGGAGGCACCAUAAAAGCUAAGCCUCUUUUGGCAUUUGCAAAGCCAAGGUUAUCACCGGAAGUUUACGCCAUAUAUUAGGCAUCUUUGAUAUGAUGACAUUUUUAGUGUCCCUCUAUGGAUUAUGUUCAAUUUUAAUUGUGUAAAGCUGAAAUAAUAAGAGAAAAAUUGUAUGCAUCGAAAAUGUAAGAAUUUGAUACAAUAUCGUUACAUUAUUUAUUAUUCAUAUUAAAUCAUUAUUGACUCUUCAUAAAAAGUAUUGUAAAUGAAAAAUGGAUCAUAUGAUAAUUUUGUGUAAAUCUUUAUACUGAUAGUAUAUACAUAUUACACUCAAAUUAACAAUAAUCAUUCUUUUCUAAAAGAUAAAUUAUGUGACUAAGAAAUAAAACUACAUAUAAAAGAUCUAUUUGUAUUUUAAAUUAUAUUCAUCCAUUGAAUUCAAUGCAUGAAUAUAACUUAAAAUACAAAUACAUAUUUUAUAACCAAAUGGCAUGCUUGAUUCUUUUAAAACCAUCUUCUAUAGUGUGGAGACUUUAUAAUAAUAAAAAUGACCUGACCAACAUUUAGGAUCGAGUAAGAGACAAACAUUAAUCCAUCUCAACCUGGUUCAUGCUCACUCCUAACAUCCAGUAUACACAUUCGGCAAAAUCACACCUAAAAAGUACAAUUAUUAAGUAACGUUAGAAUUUAGAAAUCUACAUUAUUCUCAUUAAUUAGAAAGUGAAGUCAAUAUGACUCAUUUAUAUAUUGGAAAAGGCUCGUGAUUUAAGCAAAAAUGAAUCAUGCAAAGUUAACAAACUAACUUUAAUCCUAACUAAUUACCUAGCUUCCUAACUCACCUAACCAACUUUUAAAAUAACAUCUAAAAUAUCAUCAGUAAAUAAUUUUAACAUUUUCCCCUAAUAGAUUAUAUGACUAAUUCAUUCAAUAUUUUUUCUAAGUUGAUCUAAAAUAUGAAUUAGUCAAAUUUAAGCUUUAUAAACUUUUUUGGGUGAAAAUAAUGAUACUGCAUAUUAUCGCUAAAUUUUUAAGGUAAAAAUAAUUUAAAAUUUGAGAGCUUUUUAAUGUAAACAUGAAUCUAUGUCUAACAGUCAUAUAAACAUAAGCACACAUUGUGACAAUUAAGUAUACAAACUAUGUAUAGUUUUAUGCAAAAAAGAAAAAUUAUAUGUAUGGACCAAGGUUGUUGGGACCGGACCGGAUGGUCCGACCGGUCCAAUCGUUACCCGCUUGCAUGGACGGUGCCAUACCACCUAGAAAACCGGGAAGCCAUUCCAGUUGUUUCUGGCCAUUGAAAAACCGGUUCAACCGGGUUAGACCAGGUAAAACCAGAAUAAUCCGAUUGGUUAAACCGGUCGAUUAAUUGCAAUUAAAAAAAUACCAGACAUUAUCGCACAAAGACAAUAAUUGUGUUUUUCUUUUCUAGCAGUAAUAAACAUAGAAAACUUACCCUAUAGGACUCAGGAGAAUAGUCAUUGUCGCUUCUUCAGUCUGCACUACCAUUUGGCCAUCGUCAUCUUUGUGGUCUACACUACCAGUCGCCAUUGCCUUAAUAGUACAACCUCGUGUUGCCUCGUUGUCACCUAAAGUUAGUGGUUAACAUCUGCCUCUCAAGAUUUUGACAUUGUAAUUGGAGACAUUGGUACUAAUAUGAUAUCCUUGGUUAAGAUUAUAAUACUAUAAUAGAAUGAGUCUAGGCUAGUGUUUCAAAUUGCGGACUGCAUGAGGUGAUGUUGUAACACCGUGUUUUUCCGAGCACAUUUAAUUAAGUAAUUAGUUGUUAAUAAAUUAAUUAUAUAAAUGAAUCAGUAAUGUUUUAGGCUAAACCUCAGUUGAGUUUUAGUCUUGUAUUAUAAUAUUCUUGUUUGCCCUAUUUUUUCAAGAUCUUUGGAGAAUAAAAGUUUGUGAGACAAUUUCGGGUUGUUUUAUUGAGUUUUCGCCUAUUUUUUGAGUUCUGUAACUCAGAAUCGAAUUCCAAUUUCUCCGAUGGCUUCGAAAUAAUAUUUAUAUUCAAAAUAGACACCAAGUUUGUCUGUAACUCAUCUCUACGUAUUUUUCACCACGAAAUUCAAGUUUUGACGUUUCGGCAAAAAACCUAAAUCGGUAGAUCGUAUAUUUCCAGACGAAGUUACCAAGUAAUACUCGGGCACGAUUUCAAUUGCGAAAUCACGCUGCAUCAAUCAAGUCGGAGUAUUAAUCACAUCAUGGGUCAAUGGCUUGUCAAACAAGCAAAGUCAAAGCUUCCAUAAUCCCCUGAAUCACACACCAAAUCUCCUCACUCCAUCACCAUUAAACACAUCACCUAAGCUAGCCUAAAGCUAGAUGGCCCUUCAUUAAUUUUAAAUUUUUUGAGAGGGUGAGGCUCUCCUAUAAAUACCUCACCCCAUCCUCUCAUUUUUAUACUAAUUCUCCUUAAGAAAGUUAAAGUAUUCUUUCUCUUUUUCUCUUCUCCAUUUUUCUCCACAUACACUAUGAGAAAAUCAUGAUCUCUUAGUAUGUUAUUCAUGGAGUUGAGUUUAUGUUUUUUUUCUUUAAAUAUUUUGUAAGUCAUGACUAAAGGGGAUGAUAAUGAAAUCAUAUGAACCUUUGUGUAGUUUUUGACUUAUGCAAAACUUAAAAUUUAUUCCUUAUUCUUAGAUGGAAAAACUAUAUCUUUGGACAAGGUUAGAUGAAUUUAUUUGCUUUAGAAAUAUUGGAAAUUAUUGUUAGUAUCUGAAUGUGUUUAAAUGUGAUGAUUUGAACAUCAAAUGAACAUUUAUUGUGUUUAAGACAAAUUUAUGUCUAUUCUUGAAAGUUCAAAAUGUUUAUGAGUUUUGUUGAAAAAAUUUCAUUUUUAAAAGGUAUUAUGUGUAAAAGGUUGUUUAGCAUAUGUUAUUCUUUGAUUUUCCAAUAUAAAGUAAUGAUUUAGGAUAAAAGAUGAUUUAUUAAAGUCUUGACUUCAUAAACUUAAAGUGUUAUGAAGUUUUGGAUAGUAAAGUAGUAAAAGUGUUAACUUAUGAUUUAUAGUUCAUGACUAUGAAAUCAACACCUAUUAACCCUUGAGGUUAUCCUAAAAUUUGGAGGUGUUGAGAUGAUCAUGAAAUUAGUUGUGUUUUCUUUAGUAGCAUACUUCAAAUGAGGAGAUUGACCUAAUAAGUCUUGACUUUAUAAACCUAAAGCGUUAUGAAGUCUUAGAUAGAAAAAUGAUUUAAAAGUGUUGAUCUUGGUUAAGUUAGCUUACUUUAAAGUGGUAAGAUUGACUUAAAAAGUCUUAAUUUAAAGGUAUUGAUUUUGUUUAAGUUGACUUACUUUAAAAUGAUAAGUCUAGCUUAAUAAUCCUACUUAAAAAGGUUAAUCUUAAUAAAAAUGUUUUACUUGCAAAAGAUAAGUUUUAUGAAUAGUUAUCAUACCGAAAAAAUGUAAUGAAGUGGAAAUACAUGUCUAGAAAAGUUCUGUCUAAGGAAAGACUUGGUAUUUAAGUGUCUUUACGACUCACCGCUCUUUCCUGGGAACUAACCUGGUGUAUAUCCAUAGAUUAUGACAUAAUUCCGUUAUAAGUUUUGUUAAAACUUUACUUUAAAAAGUGUCAUUAUGUUGUAAGACUUUUAGUGAUAAAUGAUGAUUCAAGAAAUACCUAACCUUGAGUCGGAUGGAUGAUAAGUUCCUCCCACAUCAUUUGAAAUUCUUCAACCUCAACAUCAACAAAUAUAACCUUCUGGAAAUCCUUAUGAAAGUUCUUCUUCUUAUAUUUUUUCCAGCAUUAUUACGUAUAUGCCAAUCGCAUAACCUAUGCUGAGCUUCAGGAAAAACUCUUUGGAUUGAAUUCUUCAUUGCCAAGUCUCCAUCAGUGAUAAAACACUUUGGUUUUCCCAUUCAUUUCCUCCAAAAAAAUUUCUAAAAUCCACACAUAUGUUUCCUUUGUCUCAUUUGACACAACAACAACAACAAAUAUUGUUGUUUGCUUGUGAUGAUUCACACCAAAAAAUAAUACGACUGAAAAUUUAUAUUUGUUUCUACCAUAGGUUGCAUCAAAAGCAAGAACAUCUUUGAAAAUUGAGUAGUCUAAAAUGCUACAUCCAUCAGCCCAUAACAAUUGUUGCAACUUACCUUCUACAUCUACGGCAUGCCUCCAAUAUAUUGCAGAAUCUGAUUUCGAUUACUCCUUCAAGUAUUGUAAGGCUACUUAUGUUCGUCAUUUCCGAUCCUUCUUUGCUUCUGGAUUUGAUUAUACAUGUCUUUCCUAGAAAACCCAAUGUAGCGAUAACCACCACAUUGGCCAACAAAUGAGGCAAAAAAAAUUCUUGUUCCAAUUCCCAACUCUCUCAUCGUGUUCAUAUCCAAUAUAUGUCUCAGUCAUACUUCGGUUAGAAGCUAUCAUCCCACCAUAAUAUUCACCAACCACUUCAUGCCUAUGUUCAUCUAAAAAUAACUCACAUAUCAGCCUCAUUUUUCCUUGUCAACGUGAAUCUUCAUUCUUGCUAAACAGCCGCAUCUUGUUUCUCUUCUGGGUGCCCUCUUCCGAACCACAUCAUUUUCCUUCUCUAUCACAGAAAAAUGAUUGCCAUACAAUUUCACCGUCCUUAUCCCGGCGAGUAUGAUAUUUUCUUAUACCAAAACCUUUCUUCAUACCAUAUAUCUUAUAACAUUUGUAUGCAACAUCGUUGCUCAAAAACCUAAAAUUCUUCACUUCAUCUACGUUUAACAAUCCAAAAUCAAUUUCUUCAAAAUCCAAAUUCUCCUCUGUUUCAUUUAUAUUUUCAGUAUCAUUAUUAUCAAAUUCAUCUACCACCUAGAAUCAGUAAAAUAUAACGUUUAUAUUACUAAAAUAAAAACAAAUACAUUAUAUAUUUUCUUUUAAAAAAAAUUAAUACCUGAUCAUAUUAGUUUUUAUUCAUAUCAAUUUCUUCUUCCAUCUAAUAGAUAAAAACAAACAAAAAAUUAAUCAAUAACUCUAUUUUUUAUUCACAAAAAAUUACUACCAAACAAGGAUCAAACAGUAAAAAUAAUAAUUACAAAUAACAAACAUAUAACUAACAAAAUGUAUAUGAAAACAUAUAUAAGAAUACUAAAUAAAUAACAAACUAGAACUUGAUAUAUGCAAAUUCGUCCCUUCAAUAUACUAUGUUGGAAGAAGCCACUAUAAUCGACUAUGAUGGAAUAACUGACUAUAAUAUUUCACUACGCGGGAAUCUAAUAUAGAGAAGUAACCCUACGAAUCACUGAAGUCGUUUCAUUAAAAAGCAAUGUGAGACAAGAAGUCAUGAUCCGCCAUACCGACUUCGGUAUUGGACAAGACAUCCCUGAAGUCGUGUAUUUAGGACAAGAUGUCCACCUGGAAGUCUUUUCUUCCAAAACCAAUUGUUGAAAGGUUUUCUCCACGGUAGUCGAUAACAUCACUUUUCAAUCCAACGGUCCUAAAUGAGUUGUCAUCGAAGCUAACGAGGUCGCAAAUUAGUUCAACCCUAUCAUAAAUCUCGUAGUUUUAGCUUUAAAUAGAUCAUCAAUCUUUACUUGAAAACACAAAAAAACAAUACUAGGAACACUAUGAGAAUACAAACAAAAAUAUUUUUUAUCAUGCUCAUGUUAGCAAUGCGGACUGUGCCGUUUUUUGGGCUACGCUGAUGUUUUGCAUGCGUCAAAGUGCGUCAUCACCACCUCACUAACAUGCAUCACUACUUCUAAGCAACAUGUGUCGCCUGCCAAUGCCAACCAUGAGUCUAGCAUGCCACUCAUUGCUUGAACAUGUCAUCUCAGGAUGUGUUCCACCGUCUGAUCCCUCCUCCUUUUCCACGCGAGGUACAGAUUUUAUAUUUUACUAUUUUGUUUAUUUGCCCCCAAUUAUUACAAAUAAUGAUAGUAAUUAUAGAAAUAUAUAAUCAUUAAAUUAAUAUACAUAAUACUAUCAAAAUUAUAAUAGUAACGUUAAUAUAAUAAUUAAUAUGCAUUUUAAUUAAAUAGAUAAUUAUAAUAAAUUUUUGUUUGGAUUUGUUUAUUUAUUUAAAAAUAAUAAUAAAUAAAGAUAGAGCAGGUUGAUGACUUUUUUCUCGUAUAAUCUUAGAAUGGUCAUGUCGUAUCACUUCUAUUUAAUAAUUCUCAAUAAAAAUAAUAACAAAUAAAAUCAUUUCUUUGAAUCAAAUUAAUAAUUAGAGACAUAACAAUAACAAAAUUAGUUUUAUUCCAAAAUAAAAAAUGAGUAUAAAAUUAAACAAAUAUUUUUAUCCUCAAUUAAUUCAAAAAUAUGAAAAAUUUGUGAACACCUAAUUUCUUCACCUCAUUAUCUUCACAUAUUUUUAAUAAUAAAAAGAAAAAAAACUAUAUAUAUAUAUAUAUCAUAGUCAUUUUGGUUAAAAAAUUAAAUAAUUAGAAAUUUGAUUUCAUAAUUAUAUUUAUGGAAUCAAUUAGAAUUUUGUUUCAUAGUGUAAUUAAUUUGAUCAAUGUGUAUUUUUUUGCAAUUUAAAAAUAAAUUAAACCAACUAAAUCAAAUAAUUUUGAUACCAAUUUCAUCAUAAAAAAAAAAAAAAAAGACUUUAAACUAGUUUGUGAGUGACUCAAUACAUAAGUGUCACCAUUUUAAAAAGGCACCCGGUUUAAACGAGUCAUUAUGUAUUGAUUGAUGGAUAAAUUCUCUCUGAAGAAAGAAAGACGUCGAAGACCCCUUUAAAUAGAGAGGAAGACAUACACAAAAAUAAGACACAUGGAAGUACCUGAUAAGUGCCAAACAUACCUAAAUUUUAUAUACUUUUAUGACCUCUAUCUUAAGCAUAAUUGAGAAAAAUCAACUUAAAAUAAUACCUUUUGAAAACAAUACCUUUUGUAUAAAAUAUCACAAUCUUGUAUAUUUGUGUUUGUAUUUCUUUUUUUUUUUAUGUGUUUUGUAGGAUUUAGAAAGAAGAAGAAAAGAGAAAAAAGACUCAUGGUCAAAGAGAAAAAGAAGUCAAAAUCAAGGUGCUCAGGCAGGCAGCUAGGGUGGACCAAGCCACGCUGAGCUGGCCUAGACACCAGCCUGACCUGAACCAAAUUGCUCAAGCAAGUAGCUGAGCGGACCUGCUUGGCCGCUCAGCCUAGCACCAGACUAAAACUGACACGGUCAGAACUCGAGCUUGACACGGUCAAACACAAGCUUGGCACACGCCCAAGCUGCUCAAUCAGCAGCUCAAUGAUGCAACCAAGUCGCUCAAUGGUGAACCAGACUCCUGCCCAGGUCAGCAAGCACCAGGUCACGUCUCAGUCAGCAUGGUCAAAGUUGUUGAACAAGCAGCUUAGCUGUGCUAUAGGUGUGCUAAGCAGUGUGCACCCAGACUUGACUUAGCCAUCAAGCAAACCAUGAAGUCGCCAAUGACAUCACUUCAAGUAGCCCACCAUAUGAUUUUCAGAGUAGCUCACCAUAGCUGGUCCCAUAGCUCACAACUAGAUUUGGUGAGUCAAGCUUAAGGAGGUGACAAAGCUACUUGNNNNNNNNNNNNNNNNNNNNNNNNNNNNNNNNNNNNNNNNNNNNNNNNNNNNNNNNNNNNNNNNNNNNNNNNNNNNNNNNNNNNNNNNNNNNNNNNNNNNAUAACUUAUUCACAUGAUUAUUAGAAUUAAGUUGUAACUGGAAUAUUCUUGAAACCAUUAUACCGGCGUUGAAAUUUAUUUCAACAAAGCCGAGAUGACGAACAAAGAAUAAAACCGAGUUCACUUACUUAAUCAUAAAAAGGAAACGCACCGAAAUGAGGGAAUUUCCGCUUUCAACAAAUUGACACUACUGUCAGGACGAUUUGAUGAGAGGGGAAACCUUCCCCCAAAAUAACCUUUCAACAAAUUGGCGUUGUUGCCGGGGAAUUGCUUUAAUAAUAGAACAUUUCAUAUUUAUAUGUCAUUCAUCAAAUAAUUGUGCAUAAAUUUAUUUUUGCUUUUGUACAAAAAAAUAUUUACUUUGUACAAAGAUGUUAAUUAUGCGUUCUUUACAUACUAAUCUCUUUUCUUUUGAAAAUAGACAAAACAGUUCGUUUUGAUCUCAUUUUUCAGAAAUGGACUAGUAUGUUGAUUUACAACAAGAAAUUGAGCAAUUCAUCAAAGAAUUUCAACUCAAGCUCAAUUCGGUCCAUCAAAAACUUCGAGAUCUUCCUAAACAAAUGGAAUAAACCAACAAAGCAAGUUUUUGGUGUAAUGAUUGUGCAAACAACCAGAAUGUCUAUGCCUUCCAAUCAACUCACACUUAUCAUGACGAACUGGAGAAAAUUCUCAACCCGUUGAUGCAAACUACUAUCAACCAUCAGCAGAACACAAGUGAUGCUCUCACUAAAAUAGAAGAACAAAUCAACGACUUCACAAGAACUUAUUUGGUCAAGUCAGAAUUUUGUGAAAGUAUUACAACUCGAAGUGGGAAGAUAGUAGGUGUUGUUGAAAAACAAAAAGAGAGAUUAGAAGAAAAUAAUAAUAAUAAAGAAGAAAAAGAAAAUAAAAAAGAAGAAGAAAAAGAAGAGACUAGUGGGGUAAGAAAAGAAGAAAAACAAUACCCACUAGUACUGAAAAAGAUACCCUACCCAGUAGCUCGAUUAAAAACCAAGAAAGAAGAACGGUUCGCAAGAUGCAUGGAAUUAUUCAAAACUCUGAAAAUCAAUAUCCCAUUUGUUGAAGCCUUGGAGCAAAUGCCAAUUUACUCCAAGUUCAUGAAAGAACCGUUGUCCAAAAAAUGGAGUUUUCAGGAAAGGGAAGUUGUUUCACUCAACGCCAAUUGUAGUGCUAUUCUUCAAGCAAACAUUCCUCAUAAAUCAAAAGACCCAGGCAGUGUGUGUUUGAUGCCACUGUCAAUGAUGAAAAGAAGUGGAGGAAUACAAUUAAAGCCGAUAAGGAUGUCCUUGCAACUAGCAGAUAGAUCAAUCAAAUAUCCUGAUGGGGUUGCAGAGGAUGUUUUGGUCAAAGUGGACAAAAUUUUUAUCCCGGUAGAUUUUGCUGUCAUUGACAUUACCGAAGAUACGGAGAUCCCACUCAUAUUAGGGAGACCCUUUAUGAGGACAGUAAAAAUGGGGAUUGACAUGGAAAAUGGAAAAUUACUAGUUCGAGUUGUAUAUGACGAAAUUGAGUUUGACAUUUUCCAUGCAAUGCAUCAUCCGAAGGAUAAAUGGAAAUGUUUGCAAUUAGAUGUUGUUGAAGAAAUUUGCGUAGAACACCCUCAACCUGACAAAUCCUUGGAGACGCAAGAAAAUAGAGUGGAGGAAGAAAUCAUCAAACACUUUUAGGAUGAAUUGUUUCUUCAUCAAAAUCCAAGUGGACCAGCAGAGAAAGAAUCAGAAUUGGAGUUGAAAGAAUUGCCAUCUCAUUUAAAGUAUGUUUUCCUAAAUGGAGAGGCCACCAAUCCAGUAAUCAUCAACAGUAAGGUGUCCAAUUUGGAAGAAGAAAAACUUAUACAAGUCUUGAAAAAGCAUCAAGCAGCACAUGGAUGGACAUUAAAAGAUCUCAAAGGCAUCACUCCAUCAUAUUGCAUGCACAAAAUUAUGAUGGAGGAUGAUUACAAACCUUGUGCUCAACCGCAAAGGGGACUUAAUCCGGCAAUGAAGGAAGUGGUGAGGAAAUAAAUUGCGAAAAUGUUAGAAGCUGGUAUGAUUUACCCCAUUUCAGAUAGUAAAUGGGUAAGUCUAGUUCAAGUGAUGCCAAAAAGAGGUGGGAUGACAGUAAUUCGAAAUAAGAACAAUGAACUAAUUCCAACCAGGGCUGUUACUGGUUGGAGAGUUUGCAUCGACUACCGCAAGCUUAAUGCCGCCACAAGAAAGGAUUAUUUUCCCUUGUCCUUCAUAGAUCAAAUGUUAGAAAGAUUAGCCGAAAGAGCCUUCUAUUGUUUCCUGGAUGGGUACUCUAGAUACAAUCAAAUUGCUGUGGAUCCAUUGGACCAAGAAAAGACGGCAUUUACAUGUCCAUUUGGUGUUUACGCAUAGAGAAAAAUGUCAUUCGGACUAUGUAAUACUCCUGCAACUUUUCAAAGAUGCAUGUUGGCUAUCUUCGCUGAUUUGGUGGAGAAAUGCAUCGAGGUCUUCAUGGAAGAUUUUUCUGUGUUCGGAGACUCCUUUGAAACUUGCUUAACAAACUUGGAAACAUUUUUGGAAAGAUGCGAACAGACUAAUUUGUUUCUAAAUUGGAAAAAAUGUCAUUUCAUGGUCACUGAAGGAGUUGUACUCGGUCACAAAAUUUCAGCCAAAGGAUUAGAAGUUGAUAAAGCUAAGAUAGAAGUGAUCGAAAAGCUGCCUCCUCCAACAAAUGUUAAAGGAAUCAUAAGCUUUCUCGGACAUGCUGGAUUCUAUCGUAGGUUCAUCAAAGACUUCUCCAAAACAGCUAAGCCCUUGUGCAAUUUACUCUUAAAAGAUUCUGUUUUUAACUUUGGUGAUUCUUGAUUAGAAACAUUCAAUCAUUUAAAAUUAUGUUUGGUAACUGCUCCUGUCAUUACUGCACCAAACUGGAAAUCCCUUUUUGAACUAAUGUGUUAUGCAAGUGAUUAUGCAGUUGGUGCAGUUCUAGGACAGAGAAAGGAACAAGUUUUUCAUGCAAUACAUUAUGCUAGCAAAUUUCUAAAUGAAGCACAAAUCAAUUAUGCUACAACCGAAAAAGAAAUGCUAGCAAUAAUGUUUGCAUUGGAAAAAUUUAGAAGCUAUUUGAUUGAAGCAAAAAAAAUUAUUUAUACUGACCAUGCCGCAAUCAAAUAUCUUCUAAAAAAACCCGACUCCAAGCCACGAUUAAUCAGAUGGGUUUUUCUUUUGCAGGAAUUUGAUUUAGAAAUCCGCGACAAAAGUGGCAAAGAAAAUCAAGUGGCAGAUCAUUUGUCAAGAUUGGUAAAUAAAGAAGUCGUGUUAAGAGAACAAAUAAUAGCAGAAACAUUUCUUGAUGAAAAGCUAUUUCAACUUCAAACAAGACCAUAGUUUGCUGAUAUGGCCAACUAUAAAGCCCCAUGUAUAAUCCCUGAACAUUUUAAUUAUCAGCAAAAGAAAUUUUUUCUCAAAAGAGUGAAUCAAUACGUCGGGGAUGAACCAUACCUGUUCACAGAAGGAACCAAUAAUAUUAUUAGACGACGUGUUGAUGAGAAUGAGGCCCAAAAAAUAUUAUGGCAAUGCCAUAAUUCGGCCUAUGGGGGACAUUACAAUGGAAACAGAACCGCGACCAAAGUACUCCAAUCGGGAUUCUUUUGGCCAACCAUUUAUAAAGAUGCCCAAAUGUAUAUCCAAAUGUGUGAUGCAUGCCAAAGGUCUGGGGGACUUGGGAAACAAAGUGAAAUGCCUUUACAAAAUAUCAUAGAAAUAGAAAUUUUGGAUUGUUGGGGCAUUGACUUUAUGGGACCUUUCCCAUCAUCAUUUUCAAAUGAAUAUAUCUUGGUGGUUGUUGACUAUGUUUCCAUAUGGGUGGAAGCAUUGGUAGUACCCAAAGCCGAUGCGAAAACUAUGGUAAAAUUUUUGAAAAAGAAUAUUUUUACUCGUUUCGGCACACCUAGAGUAUUGAUAAGUGAUGGGGGAUCUCAUUUCAUUAAUUCCCAAUUAAAAAGAACCUUAGAAUUUUAUAAUGUUAGUCACAAGGUAGCAUCACCUUAUCACCCACAAACAAACGGUCAAGUGGAGGUAUCAAACAGAAAGUCAAAAAUAAUUUUGGAAAAAACAGUCUCUACUUCAAGAAAAGACUGGUCACAAAAACUGGAUGAUACUCUCUGGGCCUAUAGAACUGCAUUUAAAUCACCAAUAGGCAAAACUCCAUAUCAACUUGUUUAUGGCAAAGCUUGUCAUCUACUAGUUGAAUUGGAGCAUAAGGCCUAUUGGGCUCUCAAAUUUCUAAACUUUGAUUUGAAGGAUGCAAAUAUUAAAAGACAGGAUCAAUUACAUCAAUUGGAAGAAAUGCGGUUCCAAAUAUACGAAUCCUCAAGAUUAUAUAAGGAAAAAAUAAAGAAGUACCAUGAUUCUAGAAUGAGAAAGAAAUUUUUUUAUCAAGGACAAAAAGUACUUCUAUUCAACUCAAGGCUCAAAAUACUUCCAGGAAAAUUCAGAACCAGAUGGGCAUGACCAUUUGUCAUCAACGAAGUAAAAGAAUAUGGAGCAAUUGAGCUGAAAGAUCCCAAAGCAAAAGCAACUUGGGUGGUAAAUGCAUUGAUGAUGAAUCAGACUCCAUCAUCAAUGAGCAAUCAGAAUAAUCUCGUCCAAAUUCUGACGUCAAGCUAAUGACUAUAAAAGAGCGCUGACUGGGAGACAACCCAGUAUUUGGUAAAUAUUUACUUCCUUUAUCAUUGUCUUUUGUUAGCAUUUUUAUUUUUAUUUAGAAAACAAAGCAAUUUUUAAAUCACGUCAAGUAAGUCCCAAAACUUUUUUAAGGCUUCAGGACAAGCCUUCAUUUAAAAAGGGGGGACAAGGACUUGAUGUAAUUUAAAAAAAUUUUUUGUUUAGAUUGUGUAAAUAUGUAAAAAGUAAAUUUGUUUGUUCAAAAACUAAAAAAAAAAAAAUUCAAAAACCGAAAACAAAAUGGCUAAACAAAUUUUUUGAAACAUGAUCACAUGAUUAGAAAAUGUUAAGCAUACUUUAAAUUAAGCUUUGAAUGAGCAAAAUGAGAUAUAUGCUAAACUUUUGUGAAAAAAAUCAUAUAAUGUCAUAACUUGAAAUUUUUUCAAAUUGAAAAUUCAAUUUUGUGUAACAAGAUCUUUGUAGACAUUUUUUUAAAAUCAAAAAGUGUGAAACCAAACCAAGUGAGGGAGUGAGCCAAACACAAUCAAAGUGAGAAUCAACAUUUGAUUUGUCUAAUUAAACUUGUUUGAGUCUUUAAAUCUCUUAAUUGCAUAAAAAUGAUAAGAAAUGAUCAAGGCAUGUUCUUUUAUUAGUUGAACCAAAGGCCAAAAAUUCCAAACCCAAUUAGGAUCAUCUUUUGAUAAGCCCUUUGAGCCAAACAAAUGAAAUAAAAAUUUUCAAACUAUCCCAUGAACCCGAAUUGAAAAAAAUGUUCUAAGAGAGCAUUAAAUUUUAAAGAAUAGUUUGAAAGGAUUAAGUUGGUGGGAAAUUUGGUAGACUUUUCUUCUUAAAAGAAAGAAAGCUCAAUCUCUUUAGAAAUGAAAAAGAAAACAAAAAGAGAUUGAGAAAAAUAGAAGCCAAGGUUCAAAAGUUAAAGAGGUUGGGAAAAUAACGGAAAAAAGAAGAGUAAAGUGUUCUAUUGAGAAAAUUUUCAAAAAUGCUCUCUUUUUAACUUAGCCUUGAAAGUCUAGAAAAACCAUUAUCCAAACCAAGCCUCAUUACAACCAAAAUAAAGACCUUAGUGAUAUUUGAUUAUUUAUGCAAUUUAAGAGAAUAGGUGAGACAAGAAAAAAGUUCAAACUACUACAAACAAAUGAUUGAAAAAUUGAGUGAAACACUUACCCUUCAUAAAAGUUCCAAUUUUGAACUUGUGUGCAAAGAACACUUUUUGGUUAGAAAAAUAUUUGCUUAGGUGAAUUGUAACACAUUUCUGAUAAACAAAAGCAUUUAUUUCUUGUUUGAAGAAUUAUGUGUCAAAAUUCACAAAUCAUGAAAAAUCUCAUUAAAAUCUAUUUUUGACAUGCUUAUAAACAUUUGAAAUCAUGUCGAUCAUCUAUUAAACUUAGCCAAAUUGAUUUCGGAUAAGUUUCAUCUUUUGUUUGAGGACAAACAAAGUUUUAAGUUGGGGGGAGUUUGAUAAGUGUCAAACAUACCUAAAUUUCAUACACUUUUAUGGCACUUAUCUUAAGCAUAAUUGAGAAAAACCAACUUAAAACAAUACUUUUUGUAUAAAAUAUCACAAUCUUGUAUAUUUGUGUUUGUAUUUCCUUUUUAUGUGUUUUGUAGGAUUUAGAAAGAAAAAGAAAAGAGAAUAAAGACUCAUGGUCCAAGAAGAAAAAGAAGUCAAAAGAAAAAGAAGUCAAAAUCAAGGUGCUCAAGCAGGCAGCUGAGCGUGGACCAGGCCACACUAAGUUGACCUGGACACCAGCCUGACCUAGACACCAGCCUGACCUGGACCAAGCCGCUCAAGCAAACAGCUGAGCGGACCUGCUUGGCCGCUCAGCCUAGCAUCAGACUAAAACUGACACGGUCAGAACUCCAGCUAGAAACGGUCAAACACAAGCUUGGCACACGCCCAAGCUGCUCAAUUAGAAGCUCAUCGGUUCAACCAAGCCGCUCAAUGGUGAACCAGACUCCUGCCCAGGUCAGGAAGCACCAGGCCACGUCUCAGUCAGCAAGGUCAAAGCUGCCGAACAAGCAACUUAAUGGGGCUAUAGGUGUGCUAAGUGGUGUGCACCAGACUUGACUUAACCAUCAAGCAAACCAUGAAGUCACCAAUGACAUCACUUCAAGUAGCCCACCAUAGGCUUUUUAGAGUAGCUCACCAUAGUUGGUCCCAUAGCUCACAACUACUUGGUCCCAUAGCUCAAAACUCGAGCUUGACACGGUCAAACACAAGCUUGGCACACGCCCAAGCUGCUCAAUCAGCAGCUCAAUGAUGCAACCAAGUCGCUCAAUGGUGAACCAGACUCCUGCCCAGGUCAGCAAGCACCAGGCCACGUCUCAGUCAGCACGGUCAAAGCUGCUGAACAAGCAGCUUAGCGGUGCUAUAGGUGUGCACCCAGACUUGACUUAACCAUCAAGCAAACCAUGAAGUCACCAAUGACAUCACUUCAAGUAGCCCACCAUAGGCUUUUUAGAGUAGCUCACCAUAGUUGGUCCCAUAGCUCACAACUAGCUUUGGCGAGUCAAGCUUAAGGAGGUGAGAAAGCUGCUUGAUCAAGUGACCAAACCCAUGCUGAAGGGUUUGGUCAGCUGCUGAGCGGUGCAAACAUGCAGCUUAGCGGCUCCAGGGAAAUUUCUAUAAAUAGAGGCACAUUUCAUUCGAACAAAAAAUAUAUAUUAUACAUCAUUCACCAUCUUGCCUUGAAAUUCUCUUCCCUGAAGUUCUCUCUUCUUGUUCUUAGUUCAUAGCAGCUUUAUUUAAGUAAGUUUUGUAAUUUUAGUUUAUAAUUCAAGAGGAGAAAAGGAGAAGGCAAAUGAGAUGCAAAAAUCAAUUUUGUAAUCUUAUUUGGAACUCAAAGCAUCCAAUCCUUGGAUGGAUGGGUCAUGCUUCUAACAAUUUCUUUUGAAUAUCGCUAUGUAUUUCUACUUCUUAUAUUCUAAAAGAUUUGAAUAUUAAUCAGUCAAGUUGGUGCUUUGAUUAAUUUUACUUGUUUGAGAAAUUCUUAAUGCUCUUUUUAGAUUGAUCACCUAAAAACUGAUUUCAAGUUAUAAAAAUUACUUGUCUCAAACACUUAACAAAUAAACUAAGAAGUAGUUGUACCACUUAGUUUAUUUGUCAAGUUAAGCAUAUUUUUCUUAAGAUCUUAUAUUCAUUACUACUUCAAUAUUACAAUAGCCAAGAUUAGGGUGUCACAACCUAAUCUCUUUGGGGACGUAAUAUUGUUUACUAAUAAAUAUAAGUGAUUAUCAUUCUACCAUUUUAGAACAUACACUAAAAGGAGGAUUUUAGACCUUGGUGUUUGGAGUUAAUCAAAGUANNNNNNNNNNNNNNNNNNNNNNNNNNNNNNNNNNNNNNNNNNNNNNNNNNNNNNNNNNNNNNNNNNNNNNNNNNNNNNNNNNNNNNNNNNNNNNNNNNNNUAUUCAUCACUUUUGUACAAUAGAAUACAAUUAAACCGAUGUUGGAAUUUAUUCCACAAAACCGAGAUGGUAUUCAAAGGUACUUAAUAAUUAUGUAAUAGGGGAUUGCUUCGUUACCAUUGUACCGGCGUUAGAAUUUAUUCUAACAAAGCCGAGAUGGGGCAAAGAAGGAAUAACUUAUUCACAUGAUUAUUAGAAUUAAGUUGUAACUGGAAUAUUCUUGAAACCAUUAUACCGGCGUUGAAAUUUAUUUCAACAAAGCCGAGAUGACGAACAAAGAAUAAAACCGAGUUCACUUACUUAAUCAUAAAAAGGAAACGCACCGAAAUGAGGGAAUUUCCGCUUUCAACAAAUUGGCACUACUGUCAGGACGAUUUGAUGAGAGGGGAAACCUUCCCCCAAAAUAACCUUUCAUUAAUACCCACAAAAUAAGAAAAGGACAGUACAAAAGAAUUAAUAAUAAAAAAAUUUGGAAUGUAAAAUUGAAUGUUUAUUCAUUCUUUCUAGUUAAGACUUAUUUUCCUCCAUUCCAUAGUGAGCUACUUGUUGUUGACUCACCAAAGCUACUGUGAGAAUGAGAUUGCAACUAAGACGGGGUGAAUUAGUUUACUUAAAAUUAUGGCCACUUUUUCUGUAAAAUCAAGAGUUAAAGUGCAGCGGAAAAUAUAUGCAGAAAUUAAACAAGUAAAUAAUCAAACAGAUAAGGGAGAAUAUAAUACACAAGGAUUUUUAAACUGGUUCACCUGCUUGUCCAUCGAAGGCUAAGUCCAGUACUCUUGUAGUAUAAGAGAUUUCUUCACUAAAGAUUAUAAGUUGCAAUUACAAUAUCUCACCCCGAGAUUUCUAUGUACCUUGCACACUCCCUAAUCCUAAUUCACUCUUGGAAAAACACUUUUUACAGUGACUCUAAUCCCAUUUCUUAUCACACCCUUGUGAAAGAAAGUAUUUUACAAUAAUAAUGAAGAAUGUACAACAAUGGCAGAUUGACUUUACAAGUUUGAAAGUAAUAUAACUUGCAAUCCAAUCAACGCUUUUGUAUACUUAGUAAUAAUGCUCUUUAUAAGUUGGUAAACUUUGAAACACUUUACUUUAAGCAACUUCAGAAAAAUCAACUUUGAAGUUUAAGAACUAGUUGCCAAAAGUGCAGAAAAUAAUUUCAGAAUGUGUGUAAGAGCUUUUAAAAUUUGUAUAAGAGUUGUGUGUUUGUGUUGUGAGAUUCAAUGCCUUUAAAUAGGCUUUCCAAUCACCUAUAGUACCUCUACGAAAGGUAGGAAUAGAUUGGAGUGAAGACAUUUCGUUUAGGAUGAAAUCCUUUCAUUUUGAAAUCUGAAAUCUGAUGCAACAGCUCUCAAUAGUCGGUUACAACCAGCGGGUAAUCGAUUACCCUAACAUUAUGUCCACUGGGCAUAUAAAUUCGAUUUAGAGUAAUCGAUUACAACAAGUGGGUAAUCAGUUACUCAACUUCAUUAAAACUGGUAAUUUGUUACUCAAAGACAAUAAUGGAUUACUCUGAUCAAUUUUAAGUUGGAUAACUCAUUUCUCACACACAUAACCUGUUACUUAGUGUUGAAAGGUUAUCUCAGUGUUUAUUUUAGUUGGGAGUUUUCUUCUCUCAACAAAUCGUCCUGAGAGCAGUGUCAAUUUGUUGAAAGAUUAAUACUCUCAUUUUUGUUAUGUUCCUUUUGUAAGUAACAGAACUCGAUUUUAUUCUUUGUUCGCCAUCUCGGCUUUGUUGAAAUAAAUUCCAACACGGGUAUAAUGGUUUCAAGAAUAUUCCAGUUACAUCUUACUUUCUUAAUAAUCAUUUGAAUAAGUCAUUCAUUCUUUUCCCCAUCUCGGCUUUGUUAGAAUAAAUUUUAACGCCGGUAUAAUGGUAUCGAAGCAAUUACCUAUUACAUAAUUAUUAAGUACCUUUGAAUACCAUCUUGGUUUUGUAGAAUAAAUUCCAACAUCGGUUUAAUGGAAUUCUAAUAUAUAAAAGUGAUGAAUAGUUAGUUGUUAGAUACAAAUAAAUAAAUAAAGAACAAAAGAAUAAUAAAUUUAGUGACCUUUUAUUUAUUUACUCCCUUUCGGGUUCAUUUUAUUAACAAACCAAACUUUUGCGGAAAGUAAAUAACAAUAAAUAAAAGUUAGUAAGUUAGUUCAUCACUUUUGUAUAUUAAAAGCUAUUUUCAACAUAUAAAUUUAUUAAUAACACUUUACUAUUUUACAAUUUACNNNNNNNNNNNNNNNNNNNNNNNNNNNNNNNNNNNNNNNNNNNNNNNNNNNNNNNNNNNNNNNNNNNNNNNNNNNNNNNNNNNNNNNNNNNNNNNNNNNNAUUUCGUGCCUUUUUAUAGGCCAAAGUGCUGGAUGCUCAGCUGCCUUGUUUUGCAGCUAAGUUGCUCAUCUUUGGCCCCUAUGAAGAGCCCUUUUAGCCCCUACUUGACCCCUAUCGUGGGAUAGGUUACAUGCAUGGUGACACCUCUUCCUUAUUGUGAUAGCCUUAUGUCAUCCAUGAGGUCAUGUUCUUGGCCUUUAAGCUAAGAAAAAGUAAGAUGUUCCAUGAUUUGACCAAAAAAUCACUUUUCUGGUGCGCCAGCCGCUUAACCCACCUGUUUCCCCGCUAAGCUGCCUGUUUUAGCAGCUUGGCUGACCUGGUUCCUCGCUCAGUUGCAUGUUUCAGCCGCUCAGCUAACUGGUUACACGCUCAGCUUCCUGUUUCAGCAGCUUAGCUGACUUGGCCUAGUGCUUGGUGCUGACUGACCAGGCCUGGUGCUUAGUGCCUGGCUGACCUGGCCUAGUGCUUGGUGCCUGGCUGACCUGGCCUGGUGCUUGGUGCAUGGCUGACUUGGCCUGGUGCUUGGUGCCUGGCUGACCUGGCCUAGUGCUUGGUGCCUGACUGACUUAGCCUGGUGCUUGGUGCUUGGCUUGGCUGGACAGCUUUAUGCUUGAUUUCUUCAUGGUGAAGCAACCUUUUUUCCUUUGGUUUGUUACUUGAUUUUUGUUGGUUGCUUGACACUUUUGGGCUGUUUUCUUUAAGUUAAGGUAAGCAUUUGAUUUUUGAAAGUGCAAGUUGCCUUGCCUACCUUAACAUAGGUUUCUUCAAGACGAAGUAAGCUACCUUUCUUCAAGGCUAAGUAACCAAAUUAAGCACAUAGCAUGCCAUGCUUUAACUUGAUUACUUUUAGCAAUUCAUUUUGAGCUUUUGUCUUGAAUUUUGGCUUGAAUUCUUAUCCAUCUUUGAAUUUAUUCUUUAAUAUUCAAUUUCCUACAAAACUCAAAGAAAAUUGGACAAGUAUUAAUAAAGAACCAAUUUAUUUAAUCAUGCAAAAUUCACCUAAAAGUGUUAAUUUAAGUUGGUUUUCUACAAUUUGCAUAGGAUAAGUGCCAUAGAAUGAUGGUGAAAAAUGUAUACUUUUGGCACUUAUCACUUAGAUGCAGUAACUCGUUACACACUAUUUUCGAAAAUUGUUUUGAGUAUAUUGAAAUGUUUCAAUUUUAUUUUAAGAAUAGUUUGAGAAUUACUACUAUUGUAUAUUUAAGAGUAUAUGAUAGAAGUACCUAUUUAGACUUAGACUAAUUUGUCUUGAAGCUUUGUCUUCUUUGUCUUCAUAAGUAUUCUUCCUUUUCUUAUUUUUGGUGAUGUUGAUGUCUUCAUCAAAACCGUGCCAAGGCCAGGAGCAAUGAUCUUCUUCACAAUCUCUCCCUUUCUUAUGAUAAAAACCCAAUAUCUUCUUUAACAGUUUAGUUUUAUGAUAGCAACAUACUUUGAGAUAUGUUGAGAUGACGUGAUUAUGCUCCCCCUUUCAUUUGGAGUUAUGUGCCUGAAAUGUUUUAAACAGAAAAUACACUUCUCCCAACUUUUCUCCCCCUUUUGACUUCAUCAAAAAGUAGAAAAGCCAAAAGUCCAACACAAUAUAUAUAUAUAUAUAUAGCAUACAUAUAGAUAUGAUUUUUUCCAACACAAUAUUUAUAGCGAAUAUACCAAUGCAUAUCAUAAAAGAUAAGAUGUUCAGACAUUUGUUCAGAAAUAACAAAAUAUCACAACAACAAAUAUUGUUCAAUAUCAUGAAAACAUUACAAACAUAUAAAUAGUAAAUUGUUCAUAAUCAUGCACCAAUACAAACAGAAAUCCUAGAUACAAUCUAAGACUCAGGCUCAGAGUUGUCUUCAUCAAUGUCCAUGCUACUCAGCUUAGAAGAGAGACGAUGAAGUUCAAACUGGACUUGUUGAUUCUAAGUAUCAAAGGCUUCAUCCGGUUAGUGAUGUAGCCUCAAAGAAAAAGCAACUCGUCCAUAAUCAUCUGAUUGGUAGGCAUGACAACAAUGAGGAAGAUUGAGCAUGAAACUCAGAAGGUUGAGAUUCAAGAGGGUUAGGAUUGGUAGGUUCUAGUUGACCAAUAGGUGCAUUCGGUCUAUCAGAUUGAUGUUUAUACGUACGAUGAUCAUGAGGAUCUAUGGAGAAACCCAUUUUGUGGACAACUUCCACAUCAAUCUUGCUUUCACGAAGAUUUAGAACGAUCUUGGUUUCACCAUUAGUAGAAACAAUGAAAUGUUCAAGAAUAUUGGUUAUGAAAAUUGCAUAGGGCAAGGGGCUUUGAGUUCCUCGAACAUUCCAUAUUUGUCUCAUUAACAUCUAAGUCCAAUUAAUUUUGCUAUUAAACUUCAUAGCGUACAUCAAUUGGAGUUCUAUGUCACUAAUUUGAGAAUGGUUUGAAAAUUUCGGUAAAAUGACAUAGCUCAGAAAAUAAUGAAGCAAACGAUCUUCAUGUUUGAGAUGUCCAGCAGAUAGGAUAUCUCUAUUUUUAACAGUCUCACCAAAGCCUUUUUGCUUAUGAAUUUCUAUUUCCUCUUUAGAAAUUAUACACGGAGAAUGGUAGAAAUCCUUUUAAUCAUAGUUAUCUCAUUCACAUAAUAGGUCGAAACCUGUUAUGCUACCUUGAUAGGGUAUAUUACAGAACAAUGAACUAAAAGUUUUCAAAUCCAAAAUAAUGUCGUUUCCUUUCACAUAGGAAGUAAGGCAAUUUUCACGAAAGUUCAUGUUACAGUAAAAUACUCAAACAAGUUCAGGAUAAAUGACGUUAGUUUCACAACAAAAGUCAAAAAGUUUUUGUUGCCGUAAAAGAUAAGGAAAAAUAAAAUUUUCAAACUCAAAAUUCCUUACAUUAUCAUAUUUCGAAGUAAAGAUGACUCGACAAUGAAAGUGCUCCUCAAAGACUUUACGUUGCUCAUCAUUAGCAAGAAGUCUUGUCAAAUCCAAAGGGUUAGACUCCAAAGAUGAAGUCCCUUGGUUCCUUUGUGUCACAUUUGUGCGUUGCUUCUUUGAUCUAGAAGAGGAAGCCAUGGAUUGAGGUUUUUGAGUUUUUAGGUUUUGGAGAUUUGGGUUUUUUUAUUUAAGCCACUGAACACGAAAAUGAUGGUGUAGAAGUGUUUAGAGUUGACAAGGUGAUAUGAAUAGACACAAAAAUCACCCAAAACGGAUAAAAAACGAAGAGUUUAGAGAAAGAUGAGGUUGAACAUGAGUUAAGGAAGAAGAUGAGUUUGAAUUUUUUUUAAAAAUGCAGAAAAAAUCACAUAUAUAACUACACAUAGUAAUCGGUUACUCAAAUUUAAAAAAUUUAAAAAUUUUCAAACAACAGCUUUUAGUAAUCGAUUACAACAUUUGCAUAAUUGGUUACUGAAACUCCUUGUUUAACCCUGUAAUUGGUUACUCUCCAGAGUAAUCGAUUACUGACCCCAGAAAAACUUAUUUUUACGCAUGCUGAUGCUAAAAAAUUGAUUUUUAACCCAAAAUUGAAAGUUUUAAACAUAAAUAAACACUUUUAAGUACAAGUAGGCAUGAGAUAAACAUAAUGAAGCACAUAUAUAAUCAUGUUAAGGUAGGUAAGCUUCAUCAAGAAUGCCUAAUUCUCGUCUAAUUUUGUAAAAAGGUUCUUUAGCCAAUAGUUUAGUAAAUAUAUCUUCUAGUUGGUUGUGAGUAUCAACAAAUUCUACAGAUACAUCCUUCUUUUGGACAUGGUCCCUAAGGAAGUGAUGCAUUAUAUCUAUGUGUUUGGUUCUAGAAUGCAUAACUGGAUUCUUUGUGAGGUUUAUAGCACUAGUAUUGUCACAUCUCAGAGGAGCGCAACCUAAGUCUAAACCAUAAUCUUGUAAUUGUUGCUUAAGCCACAACACUUGGGCACAACAACUACAUGGUGCUAUACAUUAUGCUUCAGCAAUGCUUAGAGCAACACAUGUUUGUUUCUUACAAGAUCAAGAGACUAAAGCAUUUCCUAAAAUGUGACAAGUACCACUUGUACUUUUCCUCUCAGUUUUGCAUCUAGCAAAAUAUUAAUCUGGAUAACCAACCAAAUCACAUAUACUUCAUUUUGGAAACCACAACCCAACGUCAGUUGUGCCUUUAAGAUAUUUCAUGAUUAUCUUAACAGAAACUAAGUGUGAUUCUUUUGGUUCAGAGUGAUAGUAUGCAUACAGACAUACACUAAACAUGAUAUCAGGUCUAUUAGAACUUAAGUAUAAAAGAGAUCCAAUCAUAUCUCGAUACUUUGAUAUUUCAAUGCAUUUUCCAGCUUCGUCUGUAUCGAUGUAAGUACUGGAUCCCAUAAGAGUAGCUACUUGAUUGCAGCCAUCCAUAUCGAAUCUUUUCAGCAAAUCUCUGCAAUACUUGGAUUGACUUACAAAAAUGUCGUUAUUAAGUUGUUUGAUUUGUAAUCCAAGGAAGUAAUUCAACUUCUCCAUCAUGGACAUUCAAACUAUCCUUGCAUCAUUUUUCCAAAAUCACUACACAAAACUUCAUUAGUAGAACCAAAAAUAAUAUCAUCUACAUAAAUUUGAACAAGAAGAGUAUGAUGAUUUAUUUUCUUUAUAAAGAGUGUAGUGUCGACCUUCCUUUUGGUGAAUCCUUUUUCAAUUAAAAAAUUGGUUAGAUGAUCAUACCAUGUGUGAGGAGCUUUCUUCAAGCCAUAGAGAGCUUUCUUUAAUUUGUAAACAUGAGAAGGAUGUUUGUAAUCUUCAAAACGAGGAGGUUCUUCUACAAACACUUCUUCUUGAAUAUAUCCAUUUAGAAAAGCACUCUUUACGUCCAUUUGGUAUAGCUGAAAAUUUAAGGAACAAGCAUAUGCAAGUAAUAGCCUAAUAGCUUCAAGUCUAGCAACCAGAGCAAAAAUUUCAUCAAAGUCUAUACCUUCUUCCUGGUUGUAUCUUUGGGCUACUAGUCUAACUUUAUUUCUAACAAUAAUACCAUUUUCAUCAGAUUUAUUUCGAAAUACCCAACGAGUUCCUAUGACAUGCCUAUUUUUAGGUCUAGGAACAAGUUCCCAAACUUCAUUUCUCUCAAAAUGGUUUAAUUCUUCUUGCAUUACAUGAAUCCAAUGUUCAUCCUCGAUUACAUCAUCAAUCUUGGAGGGUUCUGUUUGAGAAACGAAGGCCAUGUUUAGACAAGCAUUUUCUAGCAUUAAACGGGUAGUGACACCCUUACUUAUAUCACUAAUGAUGUUUUCAAUAGGAUGAUCUCAAUGAGUUCUCCAUUCUUUUGGUAAAUCAUAGUGAAUAUGCUAUUCUUGAGAAGAUAGAUCAUUAUACAUUUUCUAAUGCUCAUUAUCAAUUGUAGAAUCAUUAAUAGAAUUUUCUUCAGUAGGGGAACUUGGCAAGUCCUCUUCAUCAAAGGUUAACCCAUCCUUUAUCACAAUAUUGCUUUCAUCAAAAGAUACAUGAACGAAUUCUUCCAUAGCUAGAGUUCUUUUAUUAAAAACUCUAUAAGCUUUACUCGUAAUAGAGUAGCCUAUGAAGAUACCUUCGUCAAUUUGCAUCAAACUUGUCUAAGUUAUCUUUACCAUUAUUUAAAACAAAGCAUUUACAACCAAAUACAUGCAAAUGAAAAAUGUUUGGUUUUCUACCUUUAAAGAGUUCAAAUGGGGUUUUCUUAAGAAUUGGUCUGAUAAGAACUCGGUUCGAAACAUAACAUGCAUUACUUACUACAUUAGCCCAAAAAUAUUUUGGGAGGUUAGUUUCAUUUAACAUUGUACGAGCCAGUUCUUCUAAAGACCGAUUCUUUCUCUCUACAACAUCAUUUUGUUAUGGUGUUCUAGGAGUAUAAAAAUUGUGAUUGAUGUCAAGAUCAUCACAGAAUUCGUCAAAUGAAGAGUUUUAGAAUUCUCCCCCAUGAUCACUUCUUAUAGGAGCGAUUUUUAGUGAUUUUUCAUUCUGAACUCUUUUAGCAUAAAUGCUAAAGGCUUUGAAUGCCUCAUUCUUAUGAACUAAGAAUAGAGUCCAAGUAUAUCUCGAAAAAUCGUCUACUAUAACAAGAGCAUAGUAGUUACCACCAUAAUUUUGUUGUCCUUGAGGGGCCAAAUAAGUCCAUGUUUAGUAACUGCAAUGGUUUAUCGGAAGAAACCAUAUGCUUAGGUUUAAAAGAAUUUUUUGCUUGUUUACUCAUUUGACAUGCAUUGCAUAGUUUGUCUUUAACAAACUUCAUUUUGGGUAAACCAACAACUAAAUCUUUCUUAAUGAGUUUAUUCAAAUGGUCCAUAUGUAUAUAAGCAAUUCUCCUAUGCCAAAGCCAUACAUCAUGAUUAUCAUUAGCAACUAAACAUGUUAUUGGUAAAGAGGAGUCUAUGUCAAUCAUAUAUAUAUAUAUAUUAUUAUCCUCUGACCAAUGAGUUUAGAGUUUUGAGAAUUCUUACUUUCAAUGAUGCACUUAUCUGGGUAGAAUGCCACAUGGAAGCCUUUGUCGCAUAAUUGAUUUAUGCUUAGAAGUUUGUGCUUGAGUCCUUCAACAUAUAAUACACCUUCUAUGGUUGUUGAGGGUGGCUUGCCAAUUAUACCAACUCCAAGUAUUUUUCCCUUGUUGUUAUCACCAUAUGCGACAUAGCCUUUGUCCCUUAGAGUGAGGACAGAGAACUUGUUUCUAUUGUCCGUCAUGUGUUUUGAGUAGCCGCUAUCCAAGUACCAUAAGUUGGAGGUAGCUCUCAAAUUAUCCUGCAAAAUAAUUGAAGUUUUAUUAGGUACCCAAUAUUCUUUAGGUCCUACAUAGUUAGUACAUUUCUCAACCCAUCUAAAAUGACCUAGGGGUAUACCAUAUUUUCUAAUUUUAGAAGUCUUUGGUGUAUGUCCAUGGUUUUUACAAUAUGUACAUGUGGGUUGAUAUUUAUGUAUCCUAGAUUUAUUAUUACUAUUUUCAAAAGCAUGGACACUUUGUUUUUCAAAGUUUAUCUUAGUUGAGACACUAUGUUUCUUAGAAACAUGGCUUUUUGAAUAGCUGAGACCUUUUUGGUCUAUUGAGUGUCUUUGAUCAUUAAUGAUAUUUUCUAAACUUUUACUACCCUUGUUUAUCUUAUUAAGUUCAAGACUUAAAGUUGACACUUUAUUUUCAAGAAUAAUGCACUUUUGACAUAAAGAUGAUGAGGGUUUGUUUCUAAAUGCGUUUAACUCAGUUUUUUGUUUUAGAAACGUUUUUGUGAGUUUAACAUAUUCAUCAUGCAAGUCAUUAAAUGCAUUUUGUAAUUCAGAAGAAUAUAGUUGAGUAUUAUUUACCUCUUCAUCAUCAGAAUGAUGAGAUGCCAAUAAGGAAAGAUGUGCUUGUUCUUAUUUCAUUCUUCCCUUUGAAGGAACUGGUAUCAUUGUCUUCCCAAGCAAUGUAGGCUCUUCGUUCAAUCCUUAUUUCAUUCUUCCUUUUGAAGGAGUUCUUUUUCAGGUUUGGAUAGUCCAUCUUCAUAUGGCCAGGCUUGCCACAUUCGAAGCAUGUGAAAUUUUGGUUUAAAGUGGAGGCGUCAUUAUUCUUGGUGAAUUUUCUCAUUUUUCUAGUCUUCCAUUUCUUCCUUCUCAGAUUCAUCUUCUGAUGAUUCAUAUUUAUCUACUUUCGCCCUGAGAGAAAUAUUCUUCUUUUUCUUUUCUUGCUCUUCAUGUUGGUCAAGUUGAAUGAGUUCUAAUUCAUGUUCCUGCAAUUUACCAAACAAAGCAGCCAAAGACAUUUUCGAUAAACUUUUAUUUUCAGAAAUGGUUGUUACCUUGGGUUGCCAUGUUCUGGUGAGUGAUCUUAGAACCUUCAAGUUCAAGUUAUUGUUUGAUAGUACCUUACCAAGUGCAAUAAGAUUAUCUGUAAGAUGAGUAAACCUCUUUUGAAGAUCCAUAAUUUUCUUUACAUGUUUCAUACGAAACAUUUUGUAUUCUUGGGAAAGAGUGUUGAGUCUUGAUAUUUUUACCUCCUCUAUUCCUUCAUGUGUUAUCACUAGAGUAUCCUAUAUUUCUUUGGCAUAUUUACAGUUUGAUACUCUAAAGAACUCAUCUAUGCCAAGUGUUGAUGUGAUGAUGUUCUUUGUUUUGAGAUCAUACUGUACCUUCAUUUUAUCUUCAAUUGAAUUCCAUAUGUCCAGGUCUUGAGAUGCUAUGAAGAUCAUCAUUCUGAGUUUCCAAAAGUCAUAGCACUCUCCAACAAAGCUUGGAGGGCAGUUGAUGUUGGAACCUUCUCCUAGAAAUGAUCUUGAGGCCAUCUUCGAUAUAGGGUCAGAUUUGAGAAUAUCUUAAUAAAAAAUAGCUCUGGUGUCAAUUGUAAGAAUGAGAUUACAACUAAGAGGGGAGGAGGUGAAUUAGUUGACUUAAAAUUAUGGCCAUUUUUUCUGCAAACUCAAGAAUUAAAGUGCAGCGGAAAAUAAAGGAGAAGUGACUACACAAGGAUUUUUAUACUGGUUCACCUGCUUGUCCACCGAAGGCUAAGUCCAAUACUCUUGCAGUAUAAGAGAUUUCUUCACUAAAGAUUAUGAGUUGCAAUUACAAUAUCUCACCCCGAGAUUUCUAUGUACCUUACACACUCCCUAAUCCUAAUUCACUCUUGGAAAAACACUUUUCCCACUGACCUUCAUAUAAUAACAUGUUUCAAACAUCCCCAACAACACCCUUGUGAAAGAAAGUAUUCUGCAAUAAUAAUGAAGAAUGUACAACAAUGGCAGAUUGCCUUUACAAGUUUGAAAGUAAUAUAACUUGCAAUCCAAUCAACUCUUUUGUAUACUUAGUAAUAAUUCUCUUUAUAAGUUGGUAAACUUUGAAACACUUUACUUUAAGCAACUUAAAAAAAAAUCAAUUUUGAGUAUGAACUAGUUCCCAAAAGUGCAAAAAAUAAUUUCAGAAUGUGUGUAAGAGCUUUUAAAAUUUGUAUGAGAGUUGUGUGUUUGUGUUGUGAGAUUCAAUGCCUUUAAAUAGACUUUCCAAUCACCCAUAGUGCCUAUACAAAAAGGUAUGAAUAGAUUGGAGUGAAGACAUUUCGUUUGGGAUGAAAACCUUUCAUUUUGAAAUCUGAAAUCUAAUGCAACAGCUCUCAGUAGUCGAUUACAACUAGUGGGUAAUCGAUUAUCCAAACAUUUUGUCCAUUGGGCAUUUAAAUUCGAUUUAGAGUAAUUGAUUACAACAAGUGGGUAAUCAGUUACUCAACUUCAUUAAAACUGGUAAUUUGUCACUCAAUGACAAUAAUGGAUUACGCUGAUCAAUUUUAAGUUGGAUAACUCAUUUCUCACACAAGUAACCUGUUACUUAGAUGUAGUAACUCGUUACACACUAUUGUUGAAAAUUGUUUUGAGUAUAUUGAAGUGUUUCAAUUUUCUUUUAAGAAUAGUUUGAGCAUUACUACUAUUGUAUAUUUAAGAGUAUAGGAUAGAAGUACCUAUUUAGACUUAGACUAAUUUGUCUUGAAGCUUUGUCUUCUUUGUCUUCAUAAGUAUUCUUCAUUUUCUUCUUUUUGGUGAUGUUGGUGUCUUCAUCAAAAUCGUGUCAAGGUCAGGAGCAAUGAUCUUCUUCACUGCUACUUGUGAGCUACUUGACUAGGCUAUUGUGGGCUAUUCUAAAAGGCGCUAAGAGAACUUGUCAAGUAAGGUCAUGCAUGAUGCCAGCAUUGCUUGGUGGCCAUGUCAAGUUGACCACUUGCUGGGUCCAGCUCGCUUGGCUGCUUAGGUGGCACCACUCAACUGCCUGCUUGAGCAAUUUUUCCUACUCUGGACAGGUGUGUGGUUCCAGGUUGGAUGGUCCAGGUGCUUGCUGAGCUGCCUGCUUCAGUAGGUUGCCUUGGGCCAGGCUUGGGUUAGGCUUGAGCCUGACCGUGCCAUGCUUGUGUCUAGGCAGCGCACUUUGAAUAUCAAAUAAACCAUUCAAACAUCAUAUCAUCAAACUUUUCAUCUAGUAUCACCUAACAAGUGGUAUCACAAGUGGUAUCGCAAGUGGUAUCACAAACAAUUGAUAAUCUUGACCUAUCUCCAAAGGGUAAGCAAGGUAACUAUAUUAACAAGGUUACAAAAAUAUUUCUUAGUAAGCUCAAAAUCGUACUUAAAACUGUCAACCUUCUGUCGUUAAUUGAUUAACAUCUCAGUAUAAUCGAUUAAAUGAGUUCCAGUAGCUAAAGCUUUCUAAAAUAAAUCAUCUUAAUCGAUUAAACUUUGUGAUAAUCGAUUACCUGGGCUCAAUUUGUUUUUUAAUAUUAAUUCUUGCUGUUUUGUGGCUUACGCAUAUUGUUUUUGAGUCAAGUACAUCUCAUGGUUUGAUUUGUACCAUCUUUUAGUAUCUUGUAACUAUGUUGAACCAUGCUAAUUGUGUUAAAUAGAAUGUGUUUUUGCAUGAAUCUUGAACAUGUCUUAAUUGUGUAUUAUAAUUGAAUGAUUGGAAUAUGCCUUAAAAUGAAAAUAGCCUAACAAGUGCCUGAAAAUGAAAUUGUAUUUUUGUAACUAAUACUACUAACAAGUGGUAUGCUACUAACAAAUGGCUUACAUAUAUGUUUAAUCAUUCCAUGUCUUAAAUGGUCAUGCUUAAAUGGUUAACUAUGUUGUAUGUAGCAUCUUACUUUGUUUGAAGUGGAUCUUGAUCAUGAUUUUUAUAUAUGAUAAUAUUGAAUGAUUAUGCAUAUUGCAAACUGCUUUAUUAUAUCAAAUGCUUAAUCAUUCUGCACUUGAUUUGCUUCUGCAUAACCCUUCAUGUCAUUCAAACCGUUCUGCUGCUAUCUGCUGUCCAUUUAAUCGAUUAAGACACACUGUUAAUUGAUUAAAUGAUGUAUAACUGUGCAUUUGUUUAAGCUUCUCAAACUAGUUAUUGCCUAUGCUAAUAAUUAUUGUUUUUCUUUCAAAAUAAAUUGCUAUAACUCUUCUAACUUUUGACUAGAAUUGAAUAUUCGUAUCUUUUUUAUAAUGUCAAAAGGGGGAGAAAGGUUGCUUGUUGUGUUUGAUGUUAUUUGCAGGGGGAAAGGUUGCUUACCUAAGGGGGAGCAAAGUGCAUUUCAACUUUGAAAUCACAACCAUUAUGCAAAUGUACAACAUCAUCAAGCUAACUCAUCAAAUGUAACGUAUGAUUUGAUGUGGUGUUUGUCAUCCUCAAAAAGGGGGAGAUUGAGAGUGCAAAGUGUUAAGGAUUGCACUAGCAACGUUUGCCUAUGUUUUGAUGAAGACAAGGAAUUAGUUAAAGCUUGAAGAUGGCUCAACAAUCAACAUGUCGAAGGCUCAAGUGGUGUCUUAUUAGACUUAUGUUAUAAUUCUUUAUUAUCUUUUUAGAAGUCUAAGAGUUUGCCAUAGAUAUUGAGUCUAGGUUAGGUAAACCUAGGUGUGAGUCUCACAAGACUCAAUAAAGUAAUUAAUCCUUUGAAAGUGAUGUCUUAUAUCUAUGUGCUUGGUUUGAGAAUGCAUGAUUGGAUUAUUAGUAAGGUUUAUAGCACUAGUGUUAUCGCACUUCAAAGGAAUACACCCUAAGUCUAGACCAUAAUCACGUACUUAUUGUUUGAGCCACAACGUUAAUCGAUUAAGGUAACCCGUUAAUCGAUUAACGUAAGUGUUUUUCUGCUGUUUUAACAGUAUAACUGAAAAACCGUUUUUGAGAGGCAAAUUCUGUUUUGUAUAAAUACUGGCUUAAUUGCAUAAACGGCUAUGUAGAAAAAGAGAGAAAAACACAAAGAAAAGAUAUAGAUCAUCAUUAUUAGAAUCUAUUAAGAAAGUGUUGAAUUAGGAGAAAGUUUAGAUCAUGCUAAGGCUUUAGAUUUCAUACUCACAUUGCAUGUUUCUUUGAAAACCUUUCUUGCAUAUUCUUGUGUUUUCUUGAAAGAAAAAGAGAUAGAUCUUUUUGAUUGCAUAUUUUCAUAAACCUCAUGCAUGAACAUUAAUAUUAGACUAGGACGUCUUGUGAAGUUCUUGCUUAGGUUUUAGGCUUUGGUUUUCAUUGUAAUAUCUGAGUAUUAAGUACUCAUUCAUAACUCAAAGCAUUGUUAGAGGAUUGGGAAAAUCCUAGCUGCGGUUAGGUAAGGUGUUCUUCACACAAAGACUUGGAGGUCUUGGUAUAAAGAGCGAUACCUUGGCUGGGGCCGAAUCGCAUAAAAAGGUUUUCUUGGGAGGCGGUUUUGGGAAAGGUCAAACCAAGGGUGUCGAAGUUCUUUGGGUUCCAAGAAGGGAGCGUUCAAGUUUUGUAAUUGGAAGCUUGUAUGUAACGUACAUUGUGUUCCAUAGUGAAGAAGGAAAAUCUCCCAAAUCAGAGGGGAGGACUGGAUGUAGUUUUGUAGUGGACAGCAAAACGAACCAGGAUAAAAUCCAUGCGCAAUCUUUUCUAUCCUUUUCUCUUUUAUGUUUCAAGUUGUUUUAAUGCGAAUCUGGAACUAAUAUUUAGCAUACUUGUUCCUUACUAUGUUCUUGUUAAUCUUGCACAAAAGUAUUUGUUGUAUAUCUGUUUGUAUGUUUGUUAAUAACCGUGCAAGUUGUUGUUCUGAUCUUGAUUUAUGCAUAACCAAAUAGUGUUCACAUUGUGAACAAUGCUAGCAGCCAACAAGUCCCUAACUUGGGAGCUCCAAUUUCUCUUACAAGCCAAAAGGAUGUUUAAGAUUGAAUAGGUGUCUAGCUGGAUGGAGAAGAUACUACUAAUCCAAUGCUAGAGAGCUACUGCAAAAGGGCAAAGAAGGAAUAGGUGCUCUAAACUUUCCAUGCUAGCCUUACGAAUAUUGCAUUUGGAAGCCAAUGAGCAUCCUCUUUUUUGAAGAUUCUCAUAUGUUGGCAUUUCCCCCUUAAUUAGUCUCCAUGUUCUGAAUGAUUUGGAAGGAAGAAUUAAAGCAGAUCAUAUAUUCUUCCACCAAUUUAAGGGAUUAGGAGUAGGGUUGAUGCAUUCAUAAGCAUCCUUGAGAGUGAGGUUACCAUCAUUGGUAUCUUGCCAAAUGAGUUUGUCAACCUUAGUAGAGGUAAUGGUUUUCAUAAUUUGCAGAGUGAUUUGAGGGAACCAAUUUGCCAACCACUUUGGAAUUAUCCAUUUUGAAUCAAAGAUGAAAUCAGCUACUAAGGCCAUUAGAGAAGAAUGCAAAUCCUCACAGAUGUUUAGAGAAUGAACCAAAGGAUCACCAAGCUAAUUAUCUUUUUAAAAGUUGGUGUGCUGGCCAUUUCCAAUCAACCAUCUAGAAUUAAUUGUGAUUAAUUGCCAAUUUUGCUUGAUACCAGUCCACAUAGAAGACUUGUAGUACCUUGUGGCGGGGUUGUAGGAAUUACCAAAUCUGAGCCUGUAUAGGGUAGCCCAGUCCUGGUCAGAGGUCCUUAUCUACAAAGUAAGCUUCAUUGGAGUAGCUUGGUUCAAUAUUUUGAGAGAUUUGAUUCCCAAACAACCCAUCUUUGAUGGUGAGUAGACUUGAGCCCAAGCUAGAGUUACUAGUUUUCUAACUUUUGUAUCACGUGACCAAAUGAAAUUUCUUAUGCAAGAGUCCAGGUGAUUAAGCAACUUAGAUGACCAAACACAUAUGUGAAAGCUAUACAUCAACAUACUUUGAAUAAUAGACUUUACAAGCUCUACUCUCCCCAUGAUUGAUAAAGGCAAUCCUUUACAUUUUGCUAAUAUCAUGGUGAUUUUAUCAACAAUUGGUUGGAGAUGGAUUUUCCUUGGCUUACCUUUAAAAGAGGAACUCCCAAGUAGGUGAAAGGAAAACAACCAACAAAAAAGCCAGAGAAGAGGACAUAAGAGCUAUUUUCCUAGAUGUAGCAUAUCUAGUGUAGAAUUUGCAUUUGGCGGGGUUGAUGUUUAAGCCCAAAGCCUCAGCAUAAUCAGAGAGAAGAUGCUUAAGGCUAGUUAGCUCCUUUUUAAUGCUCGUGUAGAAGAUUAAGAUAUCAUCUGCAUAGAGAACAUGGCUAGGAGUUUGCAGACUAUGAGGCUAUGAUAGGUCUGACCUUGUUGUUAGAGACCAGCUUUGUAAUACCUCUACUAAGGACAUCUUCUGCCAUGCAAAAUAAGAUAUGAGAAAGAGGAUCUCCCUAUCUAACCUCUCUUCUACAAUUGAAAAAACCAUAUUUUGAUCAUUAACAUUGAUGGAUAGCUUGGCAGAAUUCAGAAUUGUCUUGAUCCAAUUAGUAAAAGUCUCAUUGAAACUAAAGGUCUUUAAAGUGUCAAUCAGAAAACCUCACUCCAUAGUGUCAAAGGCUUUUGUUAUGUCUAACUUGGUAGCCAAGUUUCCACCAAAAGAUUUAUGAUCAAGUAAAUUUAAUGCUUCAGCAGCAAUGCAAAUGCAUUCUUUAAUAUGUCUAUCCUUGUUGUUGAGUUUUAGAUUGGAAAAUGAAAGCUUUAGAGCUAUGAAUGAAUUAGAAUAUGAUUUUCUCUUCCCAUAUCAAAUCCAACUUAUAAGCAGAUCUUAGAGCUUACAUUUUUUACAACAUCAUCAUCUUCAUCAUGUUUUAUCUAUAUUUUUAUUAUUACAUUAUACUCCUUAAAGAGAUAAAUUUUUGGAUUGCAAUGUACACAUGCACACACGGACUGAAAUUAAUUGUUUAUGUAUGACAUACAAAACUAUGGUCUACCUAUUGAGUUUCGUUAAUAGUAUUUUUAAUUUAUAUAAUUUGAAGUAUUUUUUAAAAAUGAGUUAUUGUCUUUAUUUUCACUAAAAAUUAGAAUAUAUGUGCACAAUUAUUGUGGUUAUUAUAUAUAGUUUGGACUGUUUAGAAUUAUAACUUUACUAUAUUUCGAGAUAGAAGUUUUGAGCCAAAUAAAGAGGAUUUUCCAUGAUAUUAUCCAAUGUGUCUUCGGCUAGUGAGAUCAAUUCUGACACUAUAUUCUCCUCUUCAUCUGAUUUAAAAUCCUCCAGUCACUCAAGGUUUCUACUAAGCCUCAAAGCUCUAUUAUUAAAUCAAACACAUCGCAUUCUCCAUAAUUCAAAUAGUUUAAUUUCAAUUGUGACGGGUUGCUAAAAGAGCUUUUCAUCAAAUGUAAGAAUGUUCGGUUGCAAAGGUAAACUUGGUAUCUUUUUUCUGUUAGUAAUGCAAAAUUAAAGGGCGCUUUCCUUACUUUGCCAUAUUUUGUGGCUUCAAUGUAAUUUGCAACCGGUACUCCAUGCAUUUAACUUGCAGUGUAAUUCCUUGUAAGCAUAGGAGCGUAUGAUUCCAGUGUUUAAAUUUUCUAUGCUCCAAUGUUUAAAUUUUCGUAAGCAUGGAAGCUUGUUCUCAUGUUUUCAUCGGGGGCAAUUAUGUAUUAUACUGAUAAAUGUCUUCACAGUAAAUCAGUAAAAGAUUUUUUCGGUAAGACAAAAUAUUAGUGGUCCCCCUCGGUACAUAUUGUAUUUCAUGUGGCAAACGCCUAGUGACUAUUCUCCAAAUGACUUCAUAAUAUUAGGGUCGUAAACGAGCUGAAUCGAGCCGAAUCAAAUUUCAGCUCGAUAAAGAUUAAUUUAGGUCGAAACUCGACUCGAGUUUAAUAUGAGUUAUUUUUUAGCUCGAGUUCGGCUCAGUUAAAGUUCACGAACUGUUCGGCUCAGUUUAAAUUGGUUCAUUAACUCAAAUAAUUAAUUAUUUAAAAAAAAUAUUAUUUAUAUAUAUAAAUAUGACCUUGUUUAAAGUUUUUAGGUUUAGCAAUUAAGAAGAUCAAAUAUGAAUAUUGUGUAGGGCUGACAUUGAACCGAACCAACUUGGUAUUCGUGCAAAACUCGAUUCAUUAUUUAGCUCGAGCAACUUGGUUCAUGAACAAAAUGAGUCGAAUUUGAUAUGGAAAUUGAACUCGUUAAAUAAACGAGUCAAACUUAAGUUGGAUACAGUUCGACUUGUUAGGUUCAUGAUAUAUAUAUAUAUAUAUAUAUAUAUAUAUAUAUAUAUAUAUCGAACUAGUUCAUGAACCUAACAAGUCGAACUGUAUCCAACUUAAGUUUGACUCGUUUAUUUAACGAGUUCAAUUUCCAUAUCAAAUUCGACUCAUUUUGUUCAUGAACCAAGUUGCUCGAGCUAAAUAAUGAAUCGAGUUUUGCACGAAUACCAAGUUGGUUCGGUUCAAUGUCAGCCCUACACAAUAUUCAUAUUUGAUCUUCUUAAUUGCUAAACCUAAAAACUUUUCAAAUGAGAUUCUUUCAACUCCAUAAUAGUGCAUCACAUUAAUCAUGCCACUUUCAAGACACAAAUUCAAACACAAAUUUGUUGGGUUUGGGCUCCCUUCCUAUGUGGAGAAAGACCCAAUUGGUCAAAGUCCACUUGUCUCAAUUAAUCUAGUGGAUAUGGGUCAGAUGAGGUAUGAGUGUGUAAUCUAUUUAGGCAAAAUGAGGCAAUAGAAAAGUGAGAGAUAAGAGAAGAGAACUCAACCCAUAGGAACUCAUAACAGUUGUGGGAAAUUCAUGAUUGCAUAUCUGGUCACCAUUGGAUCAGGUUGAAAUUUGAACCGCAGAUUCACAGUUUAUGGUACUUCAUUCUGUACGGUUGGAUUAGUGAGAAGUCACCCGAUGUCGUAGAAAACCAGUUGUUAUAAAAGUUGUUUUUCUAAUUUUUCUACAACUCUUUUGCUCACAUUUUCAUAUUUGUUGCUCUGUUGUAUGUCAUAUUGUUGAGCAUGUUUUGUGUUGUAUUUUAGAGACAUUCUUAUAUUCCUAUUUUGAUGAUAGUGGAGUUUGAUUGAGUGACUUGUGUCCGUGGUUUUUACUUCUCAUAUUGGGAAGGUUUUCCACGUUAAAAGUUUUGGUGUCCUUUGUAUGUUCUUAAUUACUACCAUUGUUUGUUAUUGCUCCUCAUAGAUUCUAGAAAGUUGGAUAAAUUAUUAUUCAUUGCAUAUACUCUGUUACAGUUUUCAUUGUUAUUAUGUUGAAUUUCCCAUCAGAGUGGUAUCAAAGCUAUUUGGUUUGAGGAUAUUUGACUUGCUUGAAUGAUGGAGGCAAAUACAUAUAGAAGAUAUGUUUGGUUGACACUAACUAUCACUUGCGAAAAGGAAAAAUGAAAAAUUUAUUAUUUGCGAAAAAUUUGCAUCUUCUUGUGUUUGCUACUAAGAAGCCAGAGUUAAAGUCUUAUGAGGAUUGGAGUUUUCAACAUCAACAUUUGUGGUUUCAUUCAGCAAUAUUUUGAAGACAGUCUACAACCACAUUGCUAAUAAGGAAAAUGCAAAAUCUUUAUGGAAGAAGAUUGAAUAUUUGUAUGCUUCUAAAUCAGGGAAUAAUAAAUUAUACUUGUUGAAUUUCUUGAUGAAUUUGAGGUACAAGGAGAGAGCUUCUAUUUUAGAUCACUUGAAUGAUUUUCAAGGACUCAUACAUCAAUUAUCGGGAAUGAGUAUCAAGUUUGAUGAUGAAGUAUUGGGACUAUGACUACUGAAUGUUGUACCAGAUUCUUGGGAAACAUUUGGGGUUACAAUUACAAACUCAACCCCUGAUGGUAUUGUUUCUUCGCAAAGUAUAAAGGGAAGUAUUCUUAAUGAGGAGAUGAGAAGGAAAGCACAUGUUACUUCAUCUCAUUCUAAGGUGGUUGUCAUUGAAAAUAGGGGUAGAAGUCAUAGAAAUGAAUCGAAAGGUGAUAGAGAAAAUGACAGAAAUAAGUUGAAGUCCAGAUACAAGAAUGUGUAGUGUCACUAUUGCCACAAAGCAGGUCACAUACAGAAGAAUUAUUUUCAACGAAAAAUGGAGAACAAAGACAAGAAGGACAAGUAGAAUGAGAAGAAUUAUGGUGAUGAUAAUCAUGUUACUACUGCUACUUGUGAUAAUCUUAUUAUUCUUCAUGACUGUAAUUCAGUUAAUCUUGUAUGAGAUGAGAGCAUGUGGAUAAUUGAUAGUGGUGCUACGAUGCAUGUUACACCAAGGAAGAAGUUUCACAUCAUACACUUUUGGUGAUUUUGGAGUGUUGAAGAUGGGUAAUGAUGGUGUGUCAAAGGUAGCUGAUAUUGAUGAUGUUUAUUUGUAUACUAACAUGGGAGUGCAUUUGUUGUUGAGAGGAGUUAAACAUGCUCCAGAUGUUCAUUUCAAUUUGAUCUCUGUACAAAUGUUUGAUGAUGGUGGUUAUGAUAAUUACUUUGGUUCUGGAAAAUGGAAACUCACCAGAGGUAACUUGGUUAUGGCCAGAGAAAAGAAAAAUUCUAAAUUGUAUUGAACAAACUUUGCUUGCUAAAGAAAGUGUGAAUGCCAUGGAUAUGGAGGCUUCUAUGUGACAACACAAACUUAGUCAUAUCAGUGAAAAUGGUUGAAUUGUUCAGUUAAAAAGGAUGUGCUUUCGGGAUUGAAGAGUGUAGAGUUGGAGAAAUGUUCUCAUUGUAUGGCACGUAAGCAGACUUGAGUAUCCAUUAAGAAGCAUCAUCCCUCAAAGAAGUCAAAUUUGCUUAAUUUGGUGCAUUUUGAUGUUUGUGGUCCAUUGAAGGUAAAAUCAUUUGGUGGCACUUUACUUUGUUACUUUUACUGAUGAUUGUUCAAGGAAGUUUUGGGUUUAUGUUUUGAAGACAAAUGACCAAGUGCUGGAAAAGUUCAAACAAUUUCAUGUUUUAGUUGAGAGACACUCAGGCAAGAAGCUGAAAUGCAUUUGUACUAACAACAGUGGUAAGUAUUAUGGACCAUUUGAUAUUUAUUGCAAGCAACAAGGUAUUAGACAUGAAAAGUUCUCCUAAGACUCUUCAGCUUAAUGACUUAGCAGAAGGAUGAACAAAACUUGAUUGAAAGAGUUAGGUGUAUGCUUUCUGAAGUAAAAUUACCUAAACAAUUCUAGGAUGAUGCUUUGUACACGACAAUGUAUGUUAUUAAUCUUACUCUUGCAAUUGCUUUGAAUGCUGAGGUACUAGACAAGAUUUGGCUUGAUAAGAAUAUCAUGUAUGAUCAUUUGUCAGUCUUCACUUGCAAGACAUUUGUACAUGUUCCAAAGGAUGAAAGGUCUAAGUUGAAUGUGAAGAUAAGACAUUGCAUCUUUAUCGGUUAUGGUGAAGAUGAUUUUGGCUAUAUGUUAUAUGAUCUUGUUGGGAAAUAGGUUGUUAGAAGCAAUGAUGUGAAGUUCAUGGAAGAUGAAACUAUUGAAGGCAUCAAUAAGAUGAAGAAUACUAUACCCGAGGAAGAUAGUAGAUUUUCAGAUAUUGAUCCAUUUUGUACACUUAUACAUAAUUUGGAUACAAUUGAGAAUAACAUUGAAAAUGGUGAAUAACAUUAUAUUGGUGAUCAACAACUUGUAGAUAAGUUAGAUGCUCCCAUUAAUAUUGCUGAUGAUAAAUAUGAGAUGUCAGAAGAUAGUUGUUGGUGAUGCUCCUAAACCACAUCAAGUUCAACUUUGGAGGUCUAAUAAAUAGAGGAAACUAUCUAUCAUAUACUCUUCUGAUGACUAUGUUUUUGGUCCAAACACAUCCAUGGUCCAAACACAUCCAAGGUUGUUGGAAUUAAAUAAGAGUUACACAGAUGAUAAUAAUGUUAAUAUGAUAACUAUAAUCUUAUCAAUGUGGAAGUUUGAAACUUGUGAGAUUAUCAGUUUCAUAUAGUUGUGAGAGAGAGAUUUGUUCAAUUAGAACAUCUACUUAUGUAAAGAGGAGUGAAUAAAAAAGGGAGAGAAGGCAAGUCAACCCGUAAGACCUCCUAGCAACCGUCGGAAAACUAUGACAACGUUUUCCUACACUAUUGGAUCGAGCUAAAAUUCGGACAACAAAUUCACAGAUUCUAAUACUAUAUUAUGAAUAGUUCAACCAGUGAAAAAUCAUUCGAGGUUAUUUCUAGUACUAUAUUAAGAAGAGAUUCUAGUACUACUUUAUAACUCAGUUAUACUUAUCUUCAAGUUUGACGCUCUAUUGUCUAUCAUAUUAUUAAGAUGUUUGUGCUACAUUUUAAAAACAAUCGUAUUCCAACUUUAAUCAUAAUAAAGCUUAAUUGACUGUCUUAUGUCAUUCCUUUGUACUUCUCAGAUUGUGUAAGGUUUUCCACGUUACAAAAUUUACCAUUGUUUGUUAUAUCUCCUUAAAGACUCGUUAGAGAAAUUAUUAUGUGUUGUCUAUACUCUAUUAAAGUUCAUGGUUUGUGUAUUUUCCAAUCAAUUCAACUUCACAACAUUCAGCCAAUGGUAUAUUAUUAUUUAAGGAUAUUAAACUCAGCAAUUCAAUCUCUCUAUUUCACAGAUAAUAUAUAAAUUGAGGAUAAUUCUUACCAAUUUACAAGAUUUAGAAAUAUGUAUAGUUUAUCAGACAACUUAUUUGAUAAAAAUAAUGUUAAUCUCUCAUUAGAUUUACAACAUAAUUUAAAAUUAAGUAUACUUAAAAAAUUAUAAAUUGCAACCACAAUAAAUAGCAAUACCGAUAAAAAGAGAAAUAUAAUAUGAACAGAAAAGUGUGAAUUGUUUUGAGAAACAACAGACCAGCCCAAUCAGAAAAUUGCAAAUUUGACAAAGUGUUUUCCACAAUUGAAAAUAGGAAUAAAGAACAACGGGAUAAUCAAAUCACAAUUUAAAUAUAUAAUAAUAAAGAAAUCAAAUCACAAUCCAAAAAAACGAUUAUAUUUCAAUUCCAUCGAAUCAUCAUAAAAACAAAUAUAAGAAGAUAAUAAAAUGUGGGUAGUAACCAGGCCCUCAAAUCAAGAGUUAUCAGAGAGAGCAGACAUGUUGUCCCAAUAGAUCAAUUUCCGUGCACACAACCAUGCCUCCUUCAUUAUAUUAUCCAGGGCAUCGGCUUAUUGUGCACGGCUUUAAAUCAUAACUAACAUUCAUCAAUUAAACAUAAAAGAGAUAUAGAACGUAUAUAUAUAUAUGCUAAGAACAAAUAAGAGAAGAGACAAACCUAGCAGCAGCCUUUUUUUUAAUGAUGUUUUUGUUUGAGAGAUGAGACAGUAUUUAUAGAAAGGUGACACAGGUGUUUAGGGUUUUCUGGCUGCUCUCGCGUACGUUUUGUGGGCUUUUU
rnacentral:lncRNA from 1 species